rnacentral:lncRNA from 1 species
AAGCCGGCGAUCCGGAGGCUGGCCAGGAGGGGCGGCGUGAAGCGCAUCUCCGGCCUCAUCUACGAGGAGACCCGCGGCGUCCUCAAGAUCUUCCUCGAGAACGUCAUACGCGACGCCGUCACCUACACGGAGCACGCCCGCCGCAAGACCGUCACCGCCAUGGACGUCGUCUAUGCCCUCAAGCGCCAGGGCCGCACCCUCUACGGCUUCGGAGGCUAGAUUCGUCUAGUGGUGCCAGUAGUGGGGCAACUUCCUCGUUUGCUCUGUGUCAUGUGUUGUGUGGUAGAUGGGAUUUACUGCUUUGGCGUGCGUCGUUGUGCUCUGUCUUGGGUUCAGUAGGCUGUGUAAUACCCAAAGUAUGUUGUGUUCAAUGAAAUCAGUUCAAUUCUAAAUCAUGACGAAAUGCUUCACUGUUGAAUUUGUGUUUUGCUUUUCUAAGACUGGCUGAUUUGAUUUCUCUGUUUAGAUUGUAUGGCUGCACUGAAUAUGUCUUCUAUUUGUUCAAGUAUUUGAAUCUCGUCGCUUCUCAUUUUAGAUCGUAUUUCAUGACAAAUUUUCAUGACAAAUUUCCAUUACUUCAACACGCUCCUUCUAUCUCCUUGAUGAUGUUAUAUUCCUAAACUCCUAUGUACUUAACACUUCUCUCUAUCACACAUGAGCAAUUAAUUUUCUCUAAUGUUUCCAUUUGCACAACAGAAUAGUACCUUUAUUCCAUUACUCAUGUUGAUAUAUUUGUGCUCUCCAAGAUUUCAGUUCACAUAUCAAUUUUAAUCUUUGCAUGUAAAUUUUGAUAAUGUGUAAGGUUUAUAUGCUUUUAUCCCAUUGAAAACUUGCUUUAAUUCCUCGGAUGAUAAUCCUGCUGUUAAACCCAUGUCGUGUUUACUAAAUAAUUUGCCUCCUAUAGUGUGCUUCUGUCGUAAUGCCUGAUUUGCUCAUAUGGACAAUAAUGACUAGAUCUAUGGACCCAUAUAUCAGUCGCUUAGAUAGCUUGAUUUUUUUCCUAAUCUAGAUUUGGAAAGAAUUAGUAAUGGGCAACAUCAUUGCUGAACUACAGUAUGGAUGUACUGUUGAUAUUGCACAUUGCAACCACAUGGUUGUCUUCUCGGGCUUUUGAGGCACGCACACCUAUUUAUGGUUCUGGUUCAAGUUUAGUUUAAUCUACAGUUACAAUUAAUAUUGUCUUUCAAGUAAAUUCAACAUCGUGUUAUCUCAUAUGAACAUGAUACAACCAUAUUGCAUAUGGAGCUUUCAACAAUUCACGGCAAUUCCUCAUGGUUCUUUUUUCGUGUGCAGGCCCUAAGAUACAUGUGUUGUCGAACAUGAGACUCCCUAAGGUGUGGAGCUAGAAGAGGUGGCGUUUCCAAAGGCAGUGCCAGCUAAUGCAUGGAUGGCCAACGAAGCUAAUGCAUGGAUUUUUCAAAAAUAAAGAUGUCAAGGCACAACUUGCUGGCGGAACCAAGCAUGUUGACCAUUGCAAUUUGAACGCAUAUAUUAUCGAAAAUGGGAUGAUUUGUGUAGUUUUAUAGCAAUACAAAUGCGCUUUUGGAUGUAAAUUUUGCGGCAACACGCUUUGGAAUUAAAUGGAUGGGUGAAUGAAGAGAGGGAAAAAAACGUAUGUCCUAAGUAGAAUGAUUAUCUAGAGAAAUGUCUUCAUAUAUUCCAUUGUCGUCCCGUUGCAUCGCACGGGCAUCUUACUAGUGACAUCUGAAAACUGAGCUGUGAACAUUCUCGUCGACCUCCAAUCACUUGGCCUGGCCCAAAUCAUUGUAGCACAAGCAGUCAAGCAGCCCACAUUUCUCUCUAAAAAAAAAGCUUAUGCCCCCACCUCCGCCACGUCACCGAUCCGCACCACCAGCCUCCCACCGCAUCCCACCUUCCGAUCGCAAUCCAACGGCCGAACUCCAGCAUCCCACGGAUCGACCCAGCAGAGAGCAGAGACCUCCCGCCUCCAACUCCCGAAAAUUUCGGGGCUUCCCUCGCAACCCCACCCCAUAUAAAGCCGUCACCUCCGAUUCCCCAAUCCAUCCCAAGCUUCAACAUCCACACGAGUCCUUCUUCUCUCAAACAAAAACAAAUCCAGACACGAUGUCUGGGCGCGGCAAGGGCGGCAAGGGGCUGGGAAAGGGCGGCGCCAAGCGCCACCGGAAGGUCCUCCGCGACAACAUCCAGGGCAUCACCAAGCCGGCGAUCCGGAGGCUGGCCAGGAGGGGCGGCGUGAAGCGCAUCUCCGGCCUCAUCUACGAGGAGACCCGCGGCGUCCUCAAGAUCUUCCUCGAGAACGUCAUACGCGACGCCGUCACCUACACCGAGCACGCCCGCCGCAAGACCGUCACCGCCAUGGACGUCGUCUACGCGCUCAAGCGCCAGGGCCGCACCCUCUACGGCUUCGGAGGCUAGAUCUGCAGUGGAGCAACUUCCUCGUUUGCUCUGUGUGAUAUGUGCUGUGCUGGAUGGAUUUACCGAUCUGGUGUGCGUCGUUGUAUUCUGUCUUUGGGUUGAGUAGGCUGUGUAAUACCUUGUUCUGUUCAAUGCAAUCAGUUCGAUUCUGAAUCCUGACGAAAUGCUUCACUGUUGAAUUGUGAUUUGUUUUCUCUAAGACCGACUGAUUUGAUCUGUUUGGACAGUACAGCUACAGUGAAUCAGUCUUUUAUUUCUUGACACUCGUUGCUUCCCAGAUUAGAUUGUGCUGCUACUGAAUCUGGCUUUCAUUUGUUCAAGUAUUUGACGCUAGUUGCUUCUCGGUUUAGAUCCCAUAUCUGUACCAAAUCAUCCUUCUAUCUGGCGCUAGCUGCAAUAUGUGGAGAUGGAAUUCUUCCGCUCAGGCUUACAGUGUCCAAUGUUUUGGUUUGGCACCACUGUGGAAUGAUCUUCGAAUAUUUCUGUUGCUUUCAGUGGUAUGAAUACUCAAAUAUGGCUUCUGUUCCUGAACGCUACAUCAAUCCUCUGGAGCUACUGUCAGCGUGGAUGUACUACUGAGGCUCUUCACUGAACAUAUUUCUUUGUCCUAAUUGUACUAUUCCUUCGAGGAAUGAGCACUAGGAAUUUUAUAUUCUUUUCAAGAAUCUUGUUCCUCACUGUGAUAUACAGUGCAACCAAGUCAUAGGUUGUUUCUAUGUUCUUUUUGAGAAACUUUGUAGACUCUAUAGAGCAGGAAUUGUGUGACUCAGUUCCUUAGGAUGUGUUUGGUUUGAGAACGAAGUGGAACGGAAUGUCAUGGUUCCAUUCCACUAGCACGGGUCGGUUCCGUUUUUGUGUUUGGUAUGAGCAAUUCUGAAGAAUGGAACGGUUACAUGUUGGUGUUUGGUUCAAGAGAUGCAAUGGAAUGGAAUUGUUCAUCUCACUUGAUUAGAUUGACUCACACUGAAUCAGAUUUUGAUAGAAAAACUAAUGAAUGUAGUGAACACUUUGAUUAUAUCGAUUAAGAGGUACAUAUAGACGCUGCAAUACAGGUACACAAGAUCAAAGAACAAGAAUAUAUUCUAAUCAGAGAGCAGAAAAGAUCAUAUCACGCACCACACACACCAACGUACAGAAAAGAUCAGAUCAGUCACCACUCCUAAAAACAACUCCCUGUCGACAGCGAUAGUCUGCACCAUGGCGGUCGAGUUCGCGAGGCUGCACUUCAAGCGCCUUCAGAAAUAACAAAUUUGUGAAGAGGCAAAGGAAGGAGGAGCCGCCGCCAGCAGGUGAGGCCGGGAGGCCGCCGCCGGCAAGCCACGAGCCACUGCUCCACUCCUUCUUAGCCGCUGCCCGCAGCAAGCAGUUAUAGUCGCUCAGAUGUGUCCGCGACGGGACGGCCGCUCCUCGUUCUUUGCCUGGAUGUGUGCGCGACGGGAUGGCCAGCUGUGAGGAAGAAAGACGAGCGGGAGGAGAGGCGACGGGGAGAUGAGGGGCAGCCGGCGCUGGGUCGGGGGAGUGGGCGGCGCUGAGAUUUGGAGGGUGCGUGCGAGUUGGGGAGGAGGAAGGGACGCAGGUUCCGCUCGUUCCACGUGGUCCGCUCGAAUCGGAGGUAUGGAUUGGUUCCGCAUAUACAAGGAAUAUUCGUUCGGUGGGAACGGGCUGAUUCCAUUCCAGCGAUGUACCAAACGCCGGAACGAGGCCGAGGUACGGGUCCAACCCAUGCCAUUCCACUUGAUGAUUGAAACCAAACGCCGGAACGAGAUCUUCACUGAUCAAGCUACACAAAUGCAAUAGGUGAUAAACUUUUUUAUUUAUGUAUUUCAUGUCACCAAGAGAAAGCAAUAAAAUAUGUCAUGCAAUGGAUUAUCACUGGAUUUUUGUUAUCUAUAGCAGCGUUACGAAGCUCGGGUGCAUCUGCACCCGCAUGUAUAGUAAAUUCAAAACAAAAACCAAAUAGAUUAGUCUGAAGUUUAUACACAUGAAGAUGAGAGGCUUUUUCUGGGUGUUUGCAAAUUUUGGCGUUGAGAUGACAUCUGUGGAACUCGGUAAAAAAAUAAAAAAUCAAAGCUCCAUAAAUGCCGAAAGCUGCAAAAAAAAUCGAGCUCCAAUUUUGCUUUUUCUUUGUAGUGAGAUUCCCGUGUGUCAUGUCAGCAUGAAAAUUUGCACGCACCUAAAAGAGUCUUAUCUUUGGUGUGUAAAAAUUUCAUUUAAAAAAAAUUGUUUAGUAUUUUACUUGUAUUUACUGUUCAUUCAUGAGCAUUUGAGCUCGGGGUCAAAAAUGUAUUCCCAUCACCUCUUAGUGUGAUCUCUGCCAUUUAAUAUUACGGGAACACAAAAUAGUGUUAUGGUUAAGUUUAAACAAAAGAAAUGAGUGAAUAGUGCACAUACAACUAAAGUUGCUUGCCUGCUUUUCGCAGGGUGGACUUACAAUUGUAGUUGCGUCAGUGUGCGGACGAUGGACAUGCCACUAUAGUUGUAUGCGGCUACCUGACAUGCAACUGUCUUACUGUCAUCUCGCACGGCCAUCGGGCGUACAUAGUUGCAUUUGGCGUGGAGAAAGGCAAAAAUCAAAACACACAAAAAAUUAGAAAACAUAACAUCAAUGAAACAAACACUACAAAAAAAGCAUAUACAAAGAAGGACUCAAAAGAGAAAACCCACAUAGAUCUCCAUGUAAGAUCUAGCAGAUAUAAUAUCAAUCGAGAUUUGAUUAAGUCUAAGUCAAUUGAGAUUUAGCAAAACCGUAUAGCUUGUUGUGAAAAAAUAGCGCACUUCCCCGCGAAGUACGCCGGUGUCGAGAUCACCCUCCUCCGCCCCGAAGAAACCGACAAUCGCGCCACCACCCGCUACGAUCACCUAGUCGAGCUCGAGGCCAAGAACUACCCCCUCGAGCUUUGGCACCCGCAGGGAGCGAACUUUGUGUUCGGCCACUUUGGGGUGCUUUCCUGCGUCGACAACAACUGCCUCAACGCCGGGGACUUCAUGGUGAUGCGGGCCUUCCUCCGCGUGGAAGGAGACCACGUCACGCCGGAGGGAUGCAUCCUCCGUCUUCCGCCCGCUCAAGUCGUCGACGUCAAGCUCCGGGUUGUCAAAACCUGGGCGAUCUUCGACGACCAACCGGUCCCCCUCGAUGACGACGGUGACGACGCCCUCCCUAGCCAGGCGCAUGUCCACGGCGCCUGGCGCUGGAACUGCGGUCACUUCGGCCCCUACACCGGUCCUCAUGGUGUCGAUGCCAUGCCACCUUCAUCGCCGCGCGAACCUUCUCCACCACCCCCCGCUGCCCAACCUCUACACGCUCGAGUCAACCUCCUCCAGCCUCUAGUCGGUGAGCCACUGCUGCACCCUGCUGUGGUGCACGACGACGAGACCGGCCUUGACGACCACCUGGCCGGAGACGCUGAAGAGUCCUUCUCACCUGCUGUGGAGGUGUCCAACUCUUUCUCCUCGUUGGCCCUUGAUGAGGGGGAAUGCUCUCAACUCUCUGGUAACCUCCUAGACGUGCCCAUCCCCCCCCCUCGUCCUCCCGCCCAAUCUUACCUACUUGCUCUCCUUGUUCAGGCACGGCUUCUGCUGCGCUCAACUCAGAUGAGCAUGAGGCCACCGUCCGCCGCAUCCAGGGCGCUGGCAAGCGGGCUACCGAUGCUGCCAAGCUUCGUAGGAGCCGUCGCCUCGCAGAGAAGGAGGAGGGCCAGUUCGUAGACAUGACCACCCAGGCCAUGCGCGCGAAGGCUCGUCGUUUUGACCUGCAGCACGCGACGGCCGAGCUCGUCGCGGCCCUCGACCAGUCCGGCCUUACCAGCACUCCGGACGAGCCGGUGCACGAUGUUGCAUCCCUAGCCCAGAUCGCGCUCAUCUGCGGUGCUGAGCAGCAGGAGAUCGAUGAGGUGUCCUCCCCGGCGCCGUGAUCAACGCUGCUCUGCCCUGGACUCCGGUUCCUCGCCAAAACCGCUUAGUCCUCAAUUGUUAUGGCCGUAUCUGCCCAUUAGGCAAUGUUUUAAUUCCUAGCUUUCCCUUUCCUGCACUUCUCACUUGAUCCCAUAGAUGCAUGGGCAAGCUGAUUCUCGAUCCUUUUGUAACGUAUGAUCGCAACCUGGACUUUUGGUGCCUACCUUUAGCUCAAUGAAUGGCCUCAAGUUUAAUUUUUGCUGUUGGAAUGUUCGUGGCCUUGGCCAAAGUCAGAAAUGCUCGGACGUCCUAUCUGAGCUUAUCGCCAUUAACCCACAUGCGUGUUUCCUUCAGGAAACCAAACUCAACUCUAUCACUACCUCCCUUCAGAAAAAAUUCCUCCCAAAGCACCUCGAUCUCACCCACACCUUGCCGGCCACCGGCUCGGCCGGAGGCAUUCUCUCGGCCUUCUCUUCCUCCCAGUUUACUCUCCUCACUUCGAACACCGGCAAUUUCUCCCAAACUUCUACGAUCUCCUGCCUUGCCUCCCCCCAAAAGCUCGCCGUCACAAUCGUGUACGCUCCCACUGACCAUGCCCUCAAGCAGGAUUUUCUGUCUGAGCUGGCCUCCUUCGUCCCACCCUCACACACCCCCUGGCUUAUCUUGGGCGACUUCAAUCUCCUACGGCGCCCCUCGGACAAAAACACGAAUAACUUCAGGCAAUCUGAAGCGGACAUGUUCAACGCCUUUAUCCACCUUCAUGGGCUAAUAGAGCUCCCUCUCCUGGACCGCUGCUAUACUUGGUCGAGCAAGAGGGAUCAGCCCACCCUUGAAAAAUUAGACCGAGUUUUCAUUAAUGUUGACUGGGACCUCCUCUUCCCAAACACCACAAUUGCAUCACUAACCUGAUAUAUUUCCGAUCAUGUUCCCCUUCUUAUCACGAUAGACACCAUCAUCCCUCGCCCCGCUCUUUUUCGAUUUGAAAAUCGUUGGGCCGUUCGACCAACCUGCCUUACCAUUGUCCAAACAGCCUGGGCUGAGGCCCGUAUACGUUCCAACCACGCCUUGAGCCUUGCCGCCGCUCUCAAACGUACGCGGUCCGAUCUUAAAAGGUGGAGGCGCUCUGCUAUUCCACUGAACACUCGUGAAAAGAAUUGCAGAAUAGUUAUAUCUGUUCUCGAUAUCAUUGAAGAAUCUCGCUUUCUAUCACCCCUCGAGCUUGCUCUUCGCCGGGUCAUCAUCAAAGUUCUACAACGCACCAUCCGUGAGAAAGCAUUGUACUGGAUCCAACGUGGGAAAGUCCAAACUGCGCUAGAAGGAGAUGAAAACUCCCGUUUCUUCCAUGCCUCAGCCUCUGCCCGCCUUCGCAAAAAUAAGAUCACGGUCCUGGAGGCCAAUGGCUCCGAGUUCUUUUCCCAUGAUGCUAAAUCAAAAAUCCUCUCAGACUUCUAUACCUCCCUUCUCGGCACUGCCUUUCAACCCACUUGGUCCUUCUCCCUCCUAGAUUUAUAUCCGUCACCUAUUCCCCAACUUCGAUCUCUCGAUGCCCCAUUCACGGAUGACGAGAUUUCAAAGGCUUUCUUGUCCAUGAAUAAAAAUGCUAGCCCUGGCCCGGACGGUUUUGGCCCUGGGUUCUACAGAAAUUUUUGGCAUAUUCUCAAAAAAAAUCUGCAAUUUCUUCGCUGAUUUCCAUGCCCUGCGUUCGGACCUAUCUUGCCUCAACCGCGCCCUCAUUAUUCUUCUCCCGAAGAAUAAUGACGCCAGGUCCCCAAAUGACUUUCGCCCCAUCUCCCUUCAAAUUUCCCUAUCAAAGGUGUUGCUAAACUCCUUACCAACAGACUGAAAGCGCAUAUCCCUCUUCUGGUCCACGCCGACCAAACUGGCUUCCUGUCUGGUCGCAAUAUCUCUGAAAACUUCCUCGGCUCCGCUGACAUUCUUCAUUGCUGCGCCAAGAAAAAGGCUCCAGCCAUUGUCGUCAAGCUGGACUUUUGGAAAGCGUUCGACUCAAUCUGUUGGUCCUCCCUCCACCACACCCUGCAGGUUAGGGGCUUCCCACCUCGCUGGUGUGCCUGGAUCCGAUCUCUGCUUACCACUCGAUCCACCGCUGUUAUGCUUAAUGGCAUCCCAGGUAAGUGGAUCCAAUGCAAGAACGGACUCCGUCAAGGUGACCCCUAUCUCCUUAUCUGUUCAUUAUUACGGCCGAUAUUCUACAUCAAAUGAUCAUUAACGCUCAUAAGGAUGGUACACUUUUACACCCCUUGUGUCCCCACCUCCCGUGCCCUGUUCUGUAAUAUGCGGACGACACUCUUAUCAUAGUUAAAGCCACCACGACUGCUGCCAAGCACCUCAAACACAUUCUAGACACCUUUGCCGCAGCCACUGGUCUUCAAAUCAACUUCACCAAAACGACUUUCAUCCCCCUUAACGUGGAUCCGCAUGAGGCCGCUCUUAUGGCCUCUGACCUUGGAACGACCAUCUCUUCCUUUCCUCAAACCUACCUAGGUCUACCCCUCUCCCCGCAUAAGCUGCCGCCCUCUGCCUUUCAGCCGGUCAUCGACCAAUGCAACACCUAUCUGGCUGGCUGGUGUGCCCUACUCCUCUCGCGUGGAGGCAAAUUAGUUCUCCUCUCUGCCGUCCUAGACAGUCUCCCCACGUAUUUUAUGCUCUGUUUUUCUCUGCCCGUCCAGGUUAUUGAAGCAAUAGAUAAAUGUAGACGCUCCUUCUUCUGGUCCAAAGAUGAUACCUGCUCGGGGGCUAAAUGCUUGGUGGCUUGGGAUAAAGUGUGCACUCCUAGAGAUGCAGGUGGUUUGGGUGUUAAAAACCUUCGCGCGCAAAAUUUUUGUUUACUGCUGAAAUUUGCCUACAAAUUUUUACACUCCUCCUCCCUCCCUUGGAAGGAUUGGGUUUUGCAUCACUCACCGCUCCACAUUGGCUUUGGCAAGAACAACUCCUUUCUUGCCAAGACUAUUUUCAAACACCUACAGAGCUUGAGAGAGAUUUCCCAGUGCACUGUUGGAGACGGUUGCUUCACCUUCUUCUGGUUAGACCGAUGGCUAAAGCCAGAACCUCUGGCUAUAGUCUACCCAGCCCUAUUUUCCCACCAUAUAAAACAAAAUGCCUUGGUAGUUACAAUUAUGCAGGAGGGGAUCGAACUUGCUCUUCGUAAUUGGCUAACCACUACUGCGAUUGCAGAACUUGCCUCUCUAAACUCUUUGUUGCAGGAUUGGGCUCUCUCACAGGUUCCGGACAUUCGUCGCCUGCUCAACGGGCCCGCCUUCUCGGCCCGGGGUGCGUAUGCUGCUCUCUCGGGUCAUCUCUCCGACCCCACGCUCGCUGCCAUUUGGGACUCAAAAGUGCCCAAAAAGGUUAUAAUCUUCGGAUGGCUCUUCUACCUCGACCGUCUCAACACCCGAAAGAACUUGCAUAAAAAAAGCAUUCUGGAUACAUAAGCUUGUCCAAGAUGUUCUCACCAGGUUGAAGAUCGCGAGCACCUGUUCUUUACAUGCUCGUCUACUCGGGGCAUUUGGCAGGAUGCUUCCAUUCGCCCGUGCUAUACGCCCAUCAGUGACCUCUUCUCUACGAGGGCGCCAACAGCUUUGCCAACUUCAGUCUGCUCCUUCAUGAUCCUAAUCAUCCUAUGGAAGAUAUGGGACACACGGAACAAAAAAGUCUUUCAGGGAAUAGACCUUCAUACUGCUGAUUCCAUUAGGGCUAUUAUUGAUGAUAUAACUAUAUGGGCUCCUCGGCUCAAAACCGAGAGCCUAAAGGAACACACCGGGCGGUGGUGUGACUUCCUCUCCUCACAAAACUUGUGAGUCCUGUACUCUUCUGCUAUGUUUGAAAUUUAUUCAGGUGGGGAGCCUUUCCCCCCCGGUGACCAUUUCAAAAAAAAAAAUAGCCAGAAAAUAUGCAAACAUUAAUUUCAAUUGGCUUGUGCCUUGUAAGUGACAUGGGUAUAAUUGAUUUACCCAUAGUGGAAACUCUUUUGUGUGAUUUCACAAAAAGAGCUAUUUUUCUAAGAAAUAAUGCAGCCAAACACAACACGAAAAUCGAAACAUGGAACGGAAAGAAUGGGCUUCUAGUAGGCAUCAUCUAUACAUAAACAAUGAGAUUGGAAUUAAAUGAAAUACAAAACAAAGUAUCAAAGAAUUGAACGUCCCCGGUCUACUAUCACCUGCUUGGCUGCUUCCUUUUUGUUGCCACACCAACAACUUCUUGAAUAUUGAAAUGAAAAUAUGGAAAUCAAACUUAGAAGUGCGACAAUGAAAAAAAUGUGGAGCGAGUAGAGAGACCGAGGUGGGGGUCAAAAGGUUGAGGGACAGAGAAGACCAAGAAGGUAAAGUGCAGGGGUGGAGAUGAGGAGGAAAGGAGAAAAAUGUGGAAAGAACCCCACUUGAUAAUCCAUGGAAGGAGAGGAGUCUGUGGUGGUUGAUGCUCAAGCCAAACCACGGCCAUGGCCUACGCUCCAUUGGCCUCCGUCAUUUCCCACCAUGCGACAUCUGACUAUAGCUAGGAUUUGUCCCUACGAGCUCUAGUGGAUGAGGCGAGGCGGAGGAUGAGAGGAGGAGGAGGGGUAGGAGGGGGAGGGAGGCAGUGAGUAGCUAGUGGGAAGUCAUGGGUUGUCCAGUCAGAGGGCAAGGUUGAGAGAGGACAUUUUUCCAUUUUUUCGCGUAGUGCGCCUCAUAUCCCGCCAUGCAAGAGCAAGUGUAUCCUUCUCCCUGCUUGCAACAAGUGGCUAAGGGGAUUCAUCGGCUUUGGCAUGAGUGAGGCGGGGAUCCAAUAGAAACACAAGAGACAUGCGAGAAGGAGAGACUGAAUUCAACGAGAUCAUUCCAGAUAGUACGAGUCACAUAGAGAAUGGAAAAAAAUAUACAACACACACAAAGCAAGGAACCACUAUGGGCGACCUACCAGAACAAAAACCAAACCGCUGAAGGCCAUCACUGUAACCAAAAGGCAAAGAAGCUGCAACGAAGUAAAACGAAGAAGACCAUGAAUCAUAUAUACCUAAGAGUGUAAUCCAGACUGUCCCUAUUUAUCUCAACAUGCAGCCUACCCACCUCAGCAAGCUUGCCACAUCAACAAGUAUUUUUUUUUGCAAGUGAACUUUGUAUUACUUAAGUGCGAUCAAUGCCAUGGUCUGCAUUACAAAGCUCAAUAACUUCUGGCAUGCCAGAGUUAAGCCAAACGACAGUUCUACUCUUAGUUCUAGCAAACUUAGCCAAAAAAUCACUAACACUAUUCUGACUACGAUGAACAAGACUAAAAGUAGUCAUACGAAGGCUCCUCAGAUGCUUGAUUUCCUUCACCGGUGAAGAGAAGACUGUUCUAUCAGUUGACUCAUCAAUGAUCAUGCUCACAACUUUUCGAGAAUCCAUCUCCACAUGAAUAGGAAACUCCGUUCUCUAAAUGGCAAGUGAAAGCCCUUCCAUACAUGCACUGAGCUCCACUUCCAAAGCGUUUCUGCAGGAAAAAAAGCUCCUUGAAUGAAGCCACAUCAACAAGUCUUAACGUGCGACAACUCAUGGUUUUUGUUGUAAUAUGAAACAGACCAUGCACAAUCCCUCUCUCUAUUUCAUGGGACAAAUCAUCCCCUUAAUUACUCCCAUCAAUUGAUUUGCGCCGCUCUCUUCGUAUUCUUUACCAAUGUCCUUCCUUUUCAUCUCCCCAAUUAUUUGAAGCCAAUGGAUCUUUGUUUCCUCGUUCAUCUUCUCCCCAAUGGAUUGCUUCAUUCCCGUCACCUACAACGAAGUUGGGUAUCUACAUCCCAUUAAAAGAUUUGUUAGGUUUCACCCUGGAAGCAAUUGCUCGAGGCAAAGAAGUUGAAAUCCUCAUUGUAUCCGCCCAUCACCUGCUGGUAACCUUGGUUUUACCACAAGCGUGGAGAGAAUUUGAAGGAUGCGUCAAAAUCAACCUCCCCAUGCAUCAUGUCGACAUCGCCCAUGCUCACCUGAUGAAGGUCUCUUCCCGUAUCACAUUCCCCUCAUUACACCAAUGCCUCCCCCAGGUCUUGAUUCCCAUCCCUCAUUGACGUGGCCUUCUUCUUUAGUUCGAUGUAUUUGAGGUAUGGAUUUCGUUAUAGUCUUGUGUUUGGAUUUUGCGCCGGGCUACACAAACGGAGUUGAUUACUGAUUGCCAUGCAGCAGACGCCAUGUAUGCAUGCAAAAUGAUCGAGAGGCCGGAAUAAAAGCUCCCCAAACUCCGCCACUCCCGGGUGAUGUUGCUACCUACGGCCUCCCAAGCUCGGGUUGGUGGUGCUAAUUGAACCGGUCAUCAUUCAUGAUGUUGCUUUUUUGUUGAACCAUAGACCAGUCGAAGGCGUUGGGGAUCAUGGUGGGUGCAAGGUGACAUGGUGCCUGCAAGUUUGAUGCGCUCAGUUGUCGAUAUUGUGUCCUGUAUGCCACAUCUUCACUAUAAAAAACCACUUCUUUCUCACUCAUCGCAUCAGUAACAAAACCCCGAUACUUCGGCGACCCCAAGGAAUUUGCCUGUGAUCAGGUAGCUAUCCCCUUAAUCCAUGAUUAUAAAUCUCCUAAUUAACCUCUCCAUGUCGUAGGUUUCACAUCUCACGUGGUCUCACUCUAUUCCCGCAAGUGCUACUGGGCAUGACGAAUAAUCUCCCAAUUAACCUUGUCAUGUUGUCGGUUUUACUUCCCACAUGGUCCGACUAUAUUAAAAUUCAAUCCAGAUACGUUUCAACCAUCUUAAGCUGUCUACAACGCGGGGGUUGAGCCCACGCGCUGGGAUAGAAUCCCUGAUCGUUACGCCGACUUCCGGUUUGAUCCUGGGAUUUCGUUUCGCGUUGAUGCCUACACAACCGCCAGGUGCUACAGGGAGUUCCUUGUGUUAUCAGGAGAGGAAGAAGCAAAACAAAGCGUCUGUCAGAUGUCAUUUAGCAUUGGAGACGAAGGCGCUAACAAAGUCAUUAAAGCAUCAAGUUAAUUUUUUAAGCGCCUAUGUAGGUGCUUUGCAUCGGAUAUGGUCUUACUAUAUUAAGUUGUAUGUGAUUCUGAUGUAGGGUAGAACCCUAAUCGCCCGAUCUUUCACGAAAGGAGCGGAUCCCGCGAAGAACAUGAGGAACACGAGGGGAAAACGAGGGAAACACAAGGGGAAAUACAAGAGAAUCACUCAACCAACAAGAACAAGUUACACAUGCGCUAGAUCCUCAAAUACAUAAAGUAAGAUACACGAUCCACAAUCAACUAAGGACGAUACAAAGGUAGCCGGUUCUUCUCCGUGAGGAGGUCUUGUAUCCAUGAGGGGAUCUUCUCCGCGAGGAGGUCUUGAAUCCAAGUGGAUCUUCUCCGAAGAGGGGUCGCGGUCUCUCUCGUGGAGUAGAUCCGGAUGGAUGAGCGAAGCUCUAUCUGUAAGUAUGAGCUAAACCAACGCUAACCCUCAAAUGGUGGAGGUGGAGGUGUAUAUAUAGUAUAGGGCCACGAAGGGGUAAGUGAGGGCGAAUGGAUACAUGGGCUCGGCCCGAUAAACUGUGCACAGACAGGCGUCGGACGUCCGAUGGGUACCGGACGUCCGGUGGCUCACGAGGGUCUGGUCGUCCGGUACUUGUCGGACGUCCGGUGUUUUGGCUCGGUUGACGUGGCGCCGGAUUUCUGGAGACGGUUAGACAUCCGGUCACUGGAGUGUGUCGAACGUCCGGGACUUGUCGGACGUCCGCUCGUUUGGCUCGGGUGCGGGAUUGUCGGUCGUCUGGUCCGGGCCGGUCGUCCGGUGGGUCUUCAGGUGUCGGACGUCCGGUCCCGACCGGUCGUCCAGUGGCUGGAGCUUCUUCCGUAGCUCUUCUUCUCAUUCCUCGCGCUUGGUGUCCUCGCCUUCUUGUCCAUGGUCUUCCUCUUGGUUCUUGGUCAUGCAUAGCACACAUGUUUGAGGUAGUAGCCAUGUCUCACGUAUGGAAAGUGAUGGUUCGAAGAGGAGUGAGUUCACCUUGUGUCCAAUGGUGUAUAGAUGAGGUCUCGUCUUAUGUUCUCUUAGGGCUUCGAGAGUAGUCGGAGUGUACAUGGGGAUGAACGUGGGAUGCUCCGCAUCAUCUCCCCUCCCCUUGGGAAAGAUCCGACCUCGGAUUGUGAUCCUCAUCACCAUGGAAACGGUAGUCGUGGACAGACUUGUUGUUGGACGGAGUGGAAGACGUUGCACAAUCCAAGUACUCCAAGGUGUCACCGGAGUGGUAUACAUGCAAAAAGAGCAAACACAAACGACACUCGAAAAUACAAUGGUUAGAGCACACAAAGUGUCCAUCAUGUAAGAAUGAGUCCAUGCAACAAGAUUGAUCAUGACAAGGUGCAUGAAGCUUAUCCAAAAGAUAUGGAAAUGUAUGCACAACAUUCAUGGUAGCAAAAUCAUUCAUUGUGCACACAAAUGUAUUGUGGAUGUGAUCAAUGCAACCACGGUGCAAAAUGAUGUCAUAGUGAGACGGUUUAUCAAUAGCAUGAAUAUGGUAAUGGAUGCUCAAUGUGAUGUGAUCAUGUAAUUGAUGGUAGGCAAUAAGAUCAUGAUGUAUGAAUAUGCCAUCAAGGUAUAUCACAACAAUUUUGCUAAUGAAAUGCACAAGCUCAUAUAUCAUGGAUGACAUGGGAAUACAAGAUGCAACAAGGCAAUCAUGAUGUGAGUCAAUCCAUGCAUAAGAUGCAAAUUUGUCAUGUGUAUGAUAUGUCCAUCGAGCAUGACAUGUGUGAACACAAUCAACAAAUAUGGAGGUGUUGGUAUACCAAUGCUCGAUGUCGUGGCAUGAGUGGAGGUUCGAAGGUGCAUCCAAUAAAUCCGAGCGAUCCUCAACUUGAAGGUCCAUGGGUUCCAUCUCCAAUGUCGGUCCUCCAUCCAAUAGAUGUAACAUGUAGACAAGAAAAAGGAAACAACAAUGAAAGAGUGACCCAUCCAAUAUGCAUAUUUGAGGAUGGCUCAAAGGGAAGGAGUUCACCUUUAGGAGAUUCUCACAAAUGUUGGUGUUGCACAUCGUGUAUGCCUUCACAUGACCAAAUUAUGUCAUGACGGUAUCGCCUUGUGAAUCCUUCAACAUGAAAGAACAUGACAAACACUCGGAAAAACAAAUGAGGUUAGCGGAAAACCUAUCAUUCAUGCGGUAAAAUACCCAACAAGUGGAUGCAUCAUGCUCAUCAUGUAACAUCCCAAAUUUUCAAUUUGGAAUGUUAUACAUAGAUCAUCAUGCAUAUCAUAUUUUCUUGCAUUUUGGUCGAUCCUAGAAAUUUCACGCAACUCAAGGACCCUCGGAGAGAGUUGGAGAUUUUGUUAUUUUCAUAUUUGAGUUUUCUCAAAUUUUGAAAAGAGGAUCAUUUGAUUUAUUUAUUUUAUCUUCAAUUAUUUUUCCGGUGUCAAAAUAUAUGAGAGAGGGAAUAUUAUGACUUUCCCAAAUUUAGGAAAACUGAAGAUUUAAUAAAUAGAUCAAUUUUGGCUUUGCCGGAGUUUUUUGUUUGCUUUUUAUUUGGAUAGGGAAAAUGCACGUUUUUGAAAAUUGCAUUUUAGGCCCGGAGUAAAGUUCAUUUUGUUCGACUCAUUUUUAGGAGUCGGGGAAAAUUUAUUUUAGGAAUUUUGGAGUUCGUUUAGAUUUUCUUUCUUUUGUUUUUCUGCGCGCGUGCGCCAGCGCCAGGCGCCAGGCGCCAGGCCGCCGCCUCGCCUCUAGCCGAGUCCCUCUAGGACUCUAGGCUAGCCCUCUUUCCUUGUUUCUUUUUCUUUUGCUUGCCCCCUACCCCAAGUAAAUCCCCCCCUCACCUAUAUAAAUACCCCAUAACCCCCCCUCUCCUCACAUCAAAACCCCAGGCCCCCUCUCCUCCUAAGCCGCAGCAAGUAGCAGCGCGCAGCCCUAAGCCGCCGCCUUAGCCGCGCCGCCCCACGCCUAAGCCGCCGCCGCCGCAUUACAUCGCCGCCGCCGCCGCCCUACGUCGCCGCCGCCGCCGCCCUACGUCGUCGCCGCCGCCGCCUUAUGCCGCCGUUCGCCGGAGCCCCUCGCCAAGGUUGCCCCGUGUCGCGUCUCUUUUUCUUCCCUCGGUUCGGUUUUUCUUCUAAACCGUUCCGGUUCUUUUCUAAACCGUUCCGGUUUUCUUUCUGGUUUUUCGUUUCGGUUUUCUUCCGAAACCCUAGAUCGGUUUUCCGUUUCUUUUUGGUUUCUUUUCCGAAAACCCUAGAUUGGUUUUUGUUCUUUCGUCGGACCGUUCGUCUCAACGAACGUGAUCACCGAUUAUUCCUGGUUAAUGAGGCCCGUUCGUUUAACCAUUCAUUGUUUUCUUUCUCGUCGGAUUUAUUCCGCGAUCGCGAUCUUAGAUCCGAUCUUCGUUCUAGUCUUUCUUCUCGCUCGUUUAUCGGAAUCAGGUGAUUCAAGCGCCUGGAGUUUCGUUUCGAAACCGCCGUUCCGUCUAAUCAACUUGAACAAGCUUUUGCUACAGUAAAAUUUGACCUAGUUUCAACUUGCUAGAACCGAGUUGUUUUCUUCCGUCGUUUGUUUUCUGUUUCUUUGUUCGGUUCGUUCUUUCUUUGCAACCGGAGUUCUUAAGUUGAACUUUCUGGUUCGUUCUCUUGUUCGAGUUUUACCUGUGCAUUAGAUGAGUACUUAUUGUGUGCUUGUUGUUUGUCUGUGAUAGAUCACCCGGAUUGCGCCGCUUGUUACUUCGAAACCCUAGGACUCGCGGAUCAUCAGCAAGGCAAGUAACACUUUGAUCAUACCUUUUCUACAACCCAUGUUUUAUUGCAUUAGAUCAAUCUUCUCACAUUGCAUGAUUAGGAUCUAAUUAAACUGUGGGAUGGGAAGUAGAUAAGGUAGUACCUAUCACCUGUAUUAUUAUGAAACCUUUGGGAGUUACUUCUACGUUUGCUUAUUAUGCCAUGCUAUGCUAGUAGACGUGGAUUGGGUGAGUGAUAUCCAUGACAGAUGUGAGUUGAUAAUUUUAAUGGUUUAUCUAAGGUGGUCACUUAAACACACAUCUGGGUGGAUUGAGGCACCUGAUGUCUAUCAGGACUUGCCUGUUUUAUUUUGGACCGCCACCCAGGCUCAAAGGGAUCAUAAGAUAAUUCAUGCUAGAAACUUCCGUGUGCAGCCACAUGCUACUAUGGGCUCUGGCAUAGUUGACUAAGUUGUGCAAACUCUUACGGGGUGGACUAGCAGAUGUAGGGGUUGUAGGUGGUACGGUCUACCCCACAUGUAAGGUGCUAGCGCUUCUGAAAGACUAUGUCUCGGUCAUCCGUUUCUCAAACACCAUGUAGUGCGAGAAGACAAACGGAGGCGAUCGAGUCAUGUGGGGAAAAGUGCGCAAACCUCUGCAGAGUGUACAAACUAAUCAUGAUUAGCCAUGUCCCCGGAUAUGGACAACUUGAGUAUCUAGUACUUGAAUAUCAUGUGAAUCUCAUCAUGUUACUUCUAAUUAAUGUUGUUGGGUUUUAAUUGUUCACUUAAUUGGGAUCGGAAUGCUGUCAACCAUUCUCGAUGUUUAACAACUACCAUGAUAGUUAAAUAAAUUUAUUCCUUUGCAGUAGGAAAAAAUUGGCUUUACGCAAAAUUGUAACCAUAGAGCUUUCCACCAGCCAUAUAUGCAUAUAGUAUAGCUGUUUCAUUCCAUUACUCUCUAUGUGUUACAUUGCCAGCAUAUUCCAUGUGCUGACCCGUUUUCGGGCUGCAACUUUCAUGUUGCAGACUUUUCAGACGACGAGUAAGGUGCUUUUAGGUCGUGGUUCUAUACUCAGUGAUGCCGUUGGAGUUGAUGGACCCAUUUAUCUUCCGAGUCUUCCGCUGUUAUCGUUAUUAGAUGGCCUUAAGCCAUAUUUAUUGUAAUAAGUUCUCUUUGAGAACGAUGUAAUAAGUGUGUGAUUGUCACUCUGCUAUAAAUCCUUCGAUGUACUGUGUGGUGUCAGCAUUACUGAUCCAGGGAUGACACCUAAGCACAGAGCACUUGAUCCAUUCGGGUCGGGUCACUACAGAGAUGGUAUCAGAGCACACGCUGACUGUAGGACACGACCACUAAGUUAAAGCCAUAGAUUACCAUUCUCUUCUCAUUUUCGAACUCCUCAUCUUUUCUACUCUUUUAGGAUGACGAACGCGAAGAUUAAGUACGCUCAACCGGAUGAAGGCACACCUUUUGGAUUUCACCUGAAGGAAGUCACCAAGUACCUGAACAUUGGAUUACCAAGCUUCACGGGAACCUUCAACGCCACUCUUCCUGAAGAGGAGCGCUGGAAGAUUCAAGCUCACGUUCCGGGAAGGACAUUCACGCCACUCACGAAGCCCAUAGAUAGUGUUUUCAAUGCACCAACCUGGAGUCUGGGAAGGAGCAUGGAAGCUCAUAUCAUUAUGGGACACAUUGGAGAAGUUUACCAAGAAGACCUCAAGGACACUAUCUACUAGAUUUGCGGACGCCGAGACGAACAAUGGGAGUUAGUCAGCACCAAGAAGGAUAGAUCCAUUGCAUCUUUCAUCCAGGUGUUAAACCAGCACGUUCGACGCCACGAGAACCAGAUGUGCAAUGAUAUGAUAGAGUUGAAGAAUGCGAAGGCAAGGAUCAUCGAGCUAGAAGGAGAACUGAAGUCUACACGCAAGGACUACAUGGACGAGAUCGUAGCUCUAGCAAGACACAAUGGCGAUCUUAAGAAGGAGAUUGAAGAACUCAAGGUGAAGUUAGCAUCCAGGAAGGAAGACAUGUACGUCACAUGUCCGGACAAUUACAUCAUCAUCGACGACACCGAUUCGGAUCCAAGUGAACCCGACUUUGAAGACGAAGCCGGACAGAUAUCAUGGAGUCUUCCACCGGUUCAAAUUUCUAGAUGACCACCAAUAGUAGUAGCAUUCCCCCCUGUAAACAUUAUAGUCGAGCACUUUUGCGAUAGUUUUAGACCGAUUGUAAGCCCUUGUUUGAUUGAAUGAAGUGAUUUUGUGUGCAUUUGCUCAUGUGCAUUGGGGUAGUGUUUUCCCUUUAGACCUCACUAUAUUCUUAAUUCUCGUCUUUUCUAAACCCUCAGAUGCCUCCGAGACGUGACAAUGGAUUUCCACUGGAGCUCACUCAGUUGAUCCAGCAGCAGAAUCAAUUGAUGCAGAUGUUAGUCCAGAACCAGCAGAACAACAACAACAACCCACCACCACCACCACCACCUGUUGACCACUUAGCCCGUUUCCUUAGGCUGAAUCCGCCGGUGUUUUCCAGUAGCACCGAGCCGAUAGUAGCAGACGAUUGGCUCCGCAAGAUAGGAAGGGAGUUGACCACUACAGGAUGCACGAAUGGUGAGAAAGUAAAGUUUGCCGCUCACCAGCUUGACGGACCCGCGGCAGCAUGGUGGGAGAAUUUCACAGCCACUUACCAGUUGACACUGUCACAUGGGAUCAGUUUCAGCAAGCUUUCCGCACUGCCCAUGUUUCAGCAGGAGCUAUGGCCAUGAAGAAGCGUGAGUUUUGCAACUUACGCCAAGGAGGAAGGACAGUUGGCCAGUACAUUGACGAUUUCAGCAAGUUAGCACGUUAUGCCCCGGAUGACGUUGCUACGGAUGCAGUUAAGCAGGAGAAGUUUCUGGAAGGACUGAAUGAUGAACUAAGCAUGAAAUUGAUGGUAGCAAGUUUCAAGAACUACCAGGAGUUGGUAGAUCGUGCCAUCAUGAUUGAAGGAAAGCAACAGUAGAUUGAAAACCGUAAGAGGAAGUAUGGACAGGGGAAGUAUAACUCUGGAGCCCAGCAGAAGCCCCGUUUUGCCCCUAAAUCGGGAUUUCAGUUUCAGCACACCCAUGGAGGAGGUAGCUCGCACAACCAUAAUGGCCACAAGAAUGGUAAUGGGAAUGGAGGAAGCAACGGCCAGAACCGCACCACCCCAUCGACCCCAACCAAGAGAGACCUGAGUCAAGUCAUCUGUUUCAAGUGUUCCAAGACCGGACAUUAUGCCAAUGAAUGUCCCGAAGGCCAGAAUGGAAAUGGCAAUGGAAGCUCUGGGAAGAAGCCGAACCCUUUCAAUAGGGGACAGGUGAACCACAUUAAUGUGGAGGAGGUUGAAGAUCAGCCUGAUGCAGUAAUCGGUAAGUUUCUGGUUAAGUCAUUUACUGCACUUGUUCUUUUUGACACUGGUGCAACGCAUUCAUACAUAUCAAGGGGAUUUGUGGAUAAAUAUAACCUACCAACCCAAGCCCUUAGGUCACCCAUGUUAGUAAGCUCACCAGGAGCGGAGUUUAUGGCUAGACGAUGGUGUGAUCGGUUACCAUUAAGGAUUGGUAACUAUAUUUUUCCCUCAGACCUAAUAGUAUUGGAAUCUCAAGGAUUGGAUGUGAUAUUAGGCAUGGAUUGGUUAUCAAAGUAUGAAGGGAAUAUUGAGUGUGCUAGUAAGUCAAUUUUGCUUACCACACCAGAAGGGAGAAGGAUCAAGUAUGUAUCCCGGCAUGUGCCAAACAGGACACAAGUAAAUUGCCUAACAGGAGUCGUGCAGGAGGAAGUACCAGUGGUAAAGGGUUUCCCUGAUGUAUUUCUUGAGGAAUUACCAGGCAUGCCACCGGAUAGAGACAUUGAGUUUUUGAUUGAGUUAUUGCCAGGUACAUGCCCAAUAUCGAAGCGACCAUACCGGAUGCCAGCAAAGGAUUUGGUGGAAAUUAAGAAUCAGAUUAAGGAGUUAUUGGAUAAAGGUUACAUUCGCCCAAGUUAUUCGCCUUGGGGAUCACCUGUACUUCUAGAAAAGAAGGAUGGAUCAUUAAGGAUGGUUGUAGAUUAUCGGGGAUUGAAUGAAGUAACCAUCAAGAACAAGUACCCACUGCCAAUGAUCAACGAUCUAUUUGAUCGGUUGCAAGGAGCUAAAGUGUUUUCCAAGAUCAAUUUGCGAUCAGGGUACCAUCAAUUGAAGAUUCGAGAGCAGGACAUACCUAAGACAGCAUUCACCACAAGAUAUGGACUGUAUGAGUAUACCGUUAUGUCAUUUGGGUUGACUAACGCACCUGCCUAUUUUAUGAACAUGAUGAACAAAGUGUUUAUGGAGUUUUUGGAUAAGUUCGUCGUAGUGUUCAUUGAUGACAUCCUGGUUUAUUCAAAGAAUGAAGAGGAGCAUAAGGAACAUUUGCGUUUAGUUUUGGAGAAACUAAGGGAACAUCAGUUAUACGCCAAAUUCAGCAAAUGUGAGUUUUGGUUGAAGGAAGUUGGAUUCCUCGGACACGUUAUAUCCGGAGAAGGUAUAGCAGUUGACCCCACAAAGGUUGAGACCGUAACCAAAUGGGAAUCACCAACGACAGUUGGAGAGAUCCGGAGUUUUCUUGGACUCGCAGGAUACUAUCGAAGAUUUAUUGAGAAUUUCUCAAAGAUUGCGAAGCCUAUGACGGAGUUGUUGAAGAAGGAUACUAAGUUCAAAUGGACUGAGGAGUGUGAGGCUAGUUUCCAGGAGUUGAAGAAACGUUUGGUUACCUCACCAGUAUUGAUUUUGCCAGAUCAGACCAAGGAUUAUGAGGUGUAUUGCGACGCUUCACGUCGAGGACUUGGAGCAGUGCUUAUGCAGGAAGGAAGAGUUGUUUCGUAUGCUUCACGGCAACUGAAGCCUCAUGAGUUGAAUUAUGCCACGCAUGAUUUGGAGUUAGCAGCCGUAGUGCAUGCAUUAAAAACGUGGAGACAUUUCCUCAUUGGAAAUCAUUGUGAGGUGUACACGGAUCACAAGAGCUUGAAGUACAUUUUCGCGCAGAAGGAGUUGAACCUCAGACAGAGGAGAUGGUUGGAGCUCAUCAAGGAUUAUGAUAUGAGAUUGCAUUACCAUCCCGGAAAAGCUAAUGUAGUAGCUGACGCAUUGAGCCGUAAGAGCCAUGUCAAUACUCUAAUGACGGGAAAAUACCAAAGGAGUUAGCAGAAAACCUUCGUGAGCUAUGUUUGGAAAUAGUUCCGAGAGGCUAUGUAGCAGCAUUGGAGAUUCAGUCAACAUUGAUGGAUAAAAUCAGAGAAGCUCAGAAAUCUGACAAGGAGAUUGCUUCUAUAAAAGAGAAAUUGAGCGAAGGAAAAGCAAAGGGAUUUCGUGAGGAUGAGCACGAUACCCUAUGGUUUGAGGACCGUGUUUAUGUGCCAAAUGACCCGGAGAUCAGGAGGUUGAUUUUGCAAGAGGCACAUGAUUCACCAUAUUCGAUUCACCCAGGGAAUACCAAGAUGUAUUUGGAUUUGAAGGGAACAUUCUGGUGGACCGGAAUGAAGAAGGAUAUUGCAGCAUAUGUAGCAGUUUGUGACGUAUGUCAGAGAGUGAAGGCAGAGCAUCAGAAGCCAGCAGGAUUGUUACAACCAUUGCCGAUACCCGAGUGGAAGUGGGAUAAGAUAGGCAUGGAUUUUAUCACAGGACUACCCAGGACGAAAGCAGGCUAUGACUCGAUAUGAGUAGUAGUUGAUCGUUUGACAAAGGUAGCACAUUUUAUUCCAGUUAAGACCACUUACACCAGUGCUAAGUUGGCGAAGAUAUACAUGACUAGGAUCAUUUGUUUGCAUGGAGUUCCGAGAAGUAUCGUAUCAGAUAGAGGAACCCAGUUUACCUCAAAGUUUUGGAAUCAGUUGCAUGAAACUUUGGGAACCAGACUAGAGUUCAGCACAGCUUUUCACCCACAGACAGAUGGACAGACCGAGAGAGUCAAUCAGAUUUUGGAAGAUAUGCUGAGAGCUUGUGCACUAGAUUAUGGAUCAAGUUGGGAUUGCCGUAUGCGGAGUUUUCUUAUAACAACAGUUACCAAACCAGUUUGAAGAUGGCACCUUUCGAAGCUUUAUACGGAAGGAGGUGCAGAACACCGUUGUCAUGGGACGAAGUUGGAGACCGUCAGUUCUUUGGACCAGAUUUGAUUAAGGAGUCUGAACGGAAAGUUAAGUUGAUUCGCGAUAGGCUCAAGGUAGCCCAGUCCAGGCAGAAGAGCUACGCAGAUUCUAAACGCAAGGAGACAGUCUACGAAACCGGAGACAGAGUUUAUCUCCGAGUAUCCCCACUUCGAGGAGUUAAGCGCUUUGGAGUUAAGGGAAAGUUAGCACCGCGUUUCGUUGGACCAUAUAAGAUUUUGCAACGCAUGUGAGAAGUCGCUUAUAAAUUGGAAUUACCAGAGGGACUGUCAGGAGUUCAUGAUGUAUUCCAUGUUUCCCAGCUGACGAAAUGUCACGCCGAGAUGGCGGAGGUACCGCUAAGAGAUACCGUGCCACUCGAAGCGAUUCAAUUGAAGGACGACUUAACGUAUGAGGAGAAGCCAGUCAAGAUUCUCGAUUAUGCCAGCAGAGUUACUCGCAGCAAGGUUAUCAAGUUUUGCAAAGUUCAGUGGAACCACCAUUCAGAGGAUGAAGCCACCUGGGAGAGAGAAGAAGAUUUGCUCAAGGACCACCCUCACCUAUUUUCUAGCCAACCUGAAUCUCGAGGGCGAGAUUCAUCUUAAGGGGGGUAGGUUUGUAACAUCCCAAAUUUUCAAUUUGGAAUGUUAUACAUAGAUCAUCAUGCAUAUCAUAUUUUCUUGCAUUUUGGUCGAUCCUAGAAAUUUCACGCAACUCAAGGACCCUCGGAGAGAGUUGGAGAUUUCGUUAUUUUCAUAUUUGAGUUUUCUCAAAUUUUGAAAAGAGGAUCAUUUGAUUUAUUUGUUUUAUCUUCAAUUAUUUUUCCGGUGUCAAAAUAUAUGACAGAGGGAAUAAUAUGACUUUCCCAAAUUUAGGAAAAAUGAAGAUUUAAUAAAUAGAUCAAUUUUGGUUUUGCCGGAGUUUUUUGUUUGCUUUUUAUUUGGAUAGGGGAAAAUGCGCGUUUUCGAAAAUUGCAUUUUAGGCCCGGAGUAAAGUUCAUUUUGUUCGACUCAUUUUUAGGAGUCGAGGAAAAUUUAUUUUAGGAAUUUUGGAGUUCGUUUAGAUUUUCUUUCUUUUGUUUUUCUGCGCGCGUGCGCCAGCGCCAGGCGCCAGGCGCCAGGCCGCCGCCUCGCCUCUAGUCGAGUCCCUCUAGGACUCUAGGCUAGCCCUCUUUCCUUGUUUCUUUUUCUUUUGCUUGCCCCCUACCCCAAGUAAAUCCCCCCCUCACCUAUAUAAAUACCCCAUAACCCCCCCCCCUCUCCUCACAUCAAAACCCCAGGCCCCCUCUCCUCCUAAGCCGCAGCAAGCAGCAGCGCGCAGCCCUAAGCCGCCGCCUUAGCCGCGCCGCCCCGCGCCUAAGCCGCCGCCGCCGCAUUACAUCGCUGCCGCCGCCGCCCUACGUCGUCGCCGCCGCCGCCUUACGCCGCCGUUCGCCGGAGCCCCUCGCCAAGGUUGCCCCGUGUCGCUUCUCUUUUUCUUCCCUCGGUUCGGUUUUUCUUCUAAACCGUUCCGGUUCUUUUCUAAACCGUUCCGGUUUUCUUUCCGGUUUUUCGUUUCGGUUUUCUUCCGAAACCCUAGAUCGGUUUUCCGUUUCUUUUUGGUUUCUUUUCCGAAAACCCUAGAUUGGUUUUCGUUCUUUCGUCGGACCGUUCAUCUCAACGAACGUGAUCACCGAUUAUUCCCGGUUAACGACGCCCGUUCGUUUAACCAUUCAUUGUUUUCUUUCUCGUCGGAUUUAUUCCGCGAUCGCGAUCUUAGAUCCGAUCUUCGUUCUAGUCUUUCUUCUCGCUCGUUUAUCGGAAUCAGGUGAUUCAAGCGCCUGGAGUUUCGUUUCGAAACCGCCGUUCCGUCUAAUCAACUUGAACAAGCUUUUGCUACAGUAAAAUUUGACCUAGUUUCAACUUGCUAGAACCGAGUUGUUUUCUUCCGUCGUUUGUUUUCUGUUUCUUUGUUCGGUUCGUUCUUUCUUUGCAACCGGAGUUCUUAAGUUGAACUUUCUGGUUCGUUCUCUUGUUCGAGUUUUACCUGUGCAUUAGAUGAGUACUUAUUGUGUGCUUGUUGUUUGUCUGUGAUAGAUCACCCGGAUUGCGCCGCUUGUUACUUCGAAACCCUAGGACUCGCGGAUCAUCAGCAAGGCAAGUAACACUUUGAUCAUACCUUUUCUACAACCCAUGUUUUAUUGCAUUAGAUCAAUCUUCUCACAUUGCAUGAUUAGGAUCUAAUUAAACUGUGGGAUGGGAAGUAGAUAAGGUAGUACCUAUCACCUGUAUUAUUAUGAAACCUUUGGGAGUUACUUCUACGUUUGCUUAUUAUGCCAUGCUAUGCUAGUAGACGUGGAUUGGGUGAGUGAUAUCCAUGACAGAUGUGAGUUGAUAAUUUUAAUGGUUUAUCUAAGGUGGUCACUUAAACACACAUCUGGGUGGAUUGAGGCACCUGAUGUCUAUCAGGACUUGCCUGUUUUAUUUUGGACCGCCACCCAGGCUCAAAGGGAUCAUAAGAUAAUUCAUGCUAGAAACUUCCGUGUGCAGCCACAUGCUACUAUGGGCUCUGGCAUAGUUGACUAAGUUGUGCGAACUCUUACGGGGUGGACUAGCAGAUGUAGGGGUUGUAGGUGGUACGGUCUACCCCACAUGUAAGGUGCUAGCGCUUCUGAAAGACUAUGUCUCGGUCAUCCGUUUCUCAAACACCAUGUAGUGCGAGAAGACAAACGGAGGCGAUCGAGUCAUGUGGGGAAAAGUGCACAAACCUCUGCAGAGUGUACAAACUAAUCAUGAUUAGCCGUGUCCCCGGUUAUGGACAACUUGAGUAUCUAGUACUUGAAUAUCAUGUGAAUCUCAUCAUGUUACUUCUAAUUAAUGUUGUUGGGUUUUAAUUGUUCACUUAAUUGGGAUCGGAAUGCUGUCAACCAUUCUCGAUGUUUAACAACUACCAUGAUAGUUAAAUAAAUUUAUUCCUUUGCAGUAGGGAAAAAUUGGCUUUACGCAAAACUGUAACCAUAGAGCUUUCCACCAGCCAUAUAUGCAUAUAGUAUAGCUGUUUCAUUCCAUUACUCUCUAUGUGUUACAUUGCCAGCAUAUUCCAUGUGCUGACCCGUUUUCGGGCUGCAAAUUUCAUGUUGCAGACUUUUCAGACAACGAGUAAGGUGCUUUUAGGUCGUGGUUCUAUACUCAGUGAUGUCGUUGGAGUUGAUGGACCCAUUUAUCUUCCGAGUCUUCCGUUGUUAUCGUUAUUAGAUGGCCUUAAGCCAUAUUUAUUGUAAUAAGUUCUCUUUGAGACAACGAUGUAAUAAGUGUGUGAUUGCCACUCUGCUAUAAAUCCUUCGAUGUACUGUGUGGUGUCAGCAUUACUGAUCCAGGGAUGACACCUGAGCAGAGAGCACUUGAUCCAUUCGGGUCGGGUCGCUACACAUCAUAAGAAAGGACAAGGGAGCAUUUCAUAGUACAGAGGCAUAUGAUGUGAGAACAACCAAAUAGAAUAGGUGCAAGCAAGCAAGCAUGCAUCACAAGAUGUAUCAUGUGAGAGGCAUGAACAUAUACGUCAUCAACCCAAGAAAGCAAGUAAUAAUGGAACAUGGGUGAUGCGACAAAGCAAGCAAUCAUAUGAAUCAAGGCAAGCAAGCUAGUAGUGCGAAGAUGCAACGUACUAGAAGGAAUCAUGUUAAGUAUGUCAUGUGUGCAAAUGGUAGUCAUGAAUAAUGCACAAGACACAUCACAAGUAUGAAUGCACGAUAUGAGCAAAAUAGUAUCAAUAGCAAGAGGCACAUGAUAAACAUGGCAAUAGCAACAAGGAUCUCCACCAAGCAUGCAAAUACACGUAGAAGUAGCAUAAUGGUGAAUCAUGGGUAGAUGCAAGCAAGGGUCACAAUUGCAUGGCAAAGGCAUAUAAGCAAGCAUAGCAUGCAAAGUGAACACGGUAAAAUGAGCAAGAAGCGAGAAGUGGUAUAUAGCCCAUAGCCGUGUGAGAGCCAAGUGAAAGAGAUGCGCAUAGUCGUUGCGCGAAGAGAGUGGUGCAAAGGAUAGUUCACGGGAUCCCAAGUCAUCUUUGCUCUCAAGAGCUCGUUUCGUCAACUCUUGGGAUUGAGAGGUUGACGAGUAUACGUGAGUACCUACACAAAACAAAGACAAAAGGCAAAAUUGUGUGUGCGUGGUAGAUGUACACAUCAUCCAUCAUGAUGCACACAUGCAAGUGUUUGUUAGCACAAAAUAGCCAAUGCUCGAAUAAAUGAGAUGCGUGAUAUAGAAACAUGUCAUCCAUCAUGAUAGGUUUGUUGUUAUGUAUAGCAUAAUGGAGACUCAAAGGAUGUAAUGCAUCAUGGGAAAUAUGUAGAGCAUUGUUGUUAAUGGAAUGCAUAUGGUGCAAGCAAUUAUGGGAAUCAUGCAAUGUAUGGAAUGCAUCAAAAUCUCCUAAUACGCAUGAGGAAACUAUGGGGGUCUCCUCAUGAUCAUUAGUGGAAACAUCACACAGAGAAUAUUGACAACAUCCAAAACAAAGCAUAUGCGGAACAUUGUGAUCAUGGCAUGGCAUAGUAGAUGAAUUGCGCAAAUCAUGUAAAGGAAGCAUGGCAAUAUCAUCACAAGAAAAACAAAAUCCAAUGACCAUCAUCUCGUCAUCUAUGCCGUAAGUGCGAAUGGGAUUUAUGUGAAUGGGGCAUGCAUAGUCACUAUGUUGAGAUUGAAAUGAUGCAAUAUGAGAUAUCUCACUCAUAGCAUAUGACAAAGGUUAAUGGAUUGUCAAACAUGAUGUGACCAAUAGAAUUUUCACAUGAUACCCUAUGGAGCAUAGCAUCACAACUAGGCAAAUCAACAUGCUCAUCAUCAUAUUUGUCAUAAAUAGGUAAGUCAUGACAUGAAGAAGUCGCACUAGCAUGAAGCAUGGGUAUAGGUAUGUCAACAUCAUGCAAGCAAUCAUUCGUAAAAUAUUCCACUAGUGGGACAAGAGAAGCACCAUCACCUAUGUUACCUUUGGAGCAUCGCUCAUGUGUUGUAGGUGAGGUGUCGAAGACCAAGGCGUGGUCAUCUUCAUCGUAAUGGAACCAUGUGGGUGGUGCAUCUUCUUUCACCAUGGCCAUCGUUGUCUCCAUUGGAGGCAUGGACUCGUCGAGGAUAGGCGUGUCGUCAUGUAGGAGACCUAGCACCAAAGAAGAAAACGCACCAGGAGUAGAGGUUAAGUCCUUAGAAGUCAAAGUGGCCUCACAUGCCGUGUCAACUACCUCACUCACUAAGUGUUGUGGCUCACUCACUCCCUCUCGGAUGCUCUCACUCAUAUGGUUGGUGGAGUCACACAAAUGGCUCUCAACCUCACAUAGGAUGUGUGGCAUGCUCUCAAGUGUGGGUCUAGUGGUGGUCACACUCAUCCUCUCAUAGGAAAUGCUCUCAAUGUCACAUGUGGUGGAGUCACUCAUGUCACUCAUGCUGUGGUGGCUCUCCUCACAUGGCAAUUGGGGCAUCUCGUCACAUGUCGUUGUCGGAGAGAUGUUGGUGCAAAUGUCUCCAUGCUCAAGCAUGUCGUGGUCGUAGCCAUGGAUGAAGGCCAAAGAUGGCACAUCAUCACUCUCCUCGAAGACCAAAGAUAAGGUCUCAUGUGCGGUCUCGUAGCUUGACUCGGAGUAUGAGCCCAAUAUGGGCGCUGUCUUCAUGUUGUUGAAGAGGUUCAUGCUCAUCGCCGUGGUCGAAGGGGAUGGCCCUUGCUCGACCUUCUUGUCGCCGUCUUGUUGUUGGAGGCCCAAAUGAUGUGGCACCUCGUAGCUCGUCUCCAUGACCGAAGGACAUUUACCAUGCCCGACCAUCUUCCUUGGGGGGCUUCCGAAGAUGGAAGUGUCACCCUCGCUCGUAGGUGGUCGCCUUGGACUUGAUGAAGUCGUUAUAGGCGUACUUGUGGGAAGUAGGCGAAGAUGCCGUACGUCCAAAGGCGAAGAUGCCUUGAUAGCACUUGGCAAAGAUGCCGAAGUGGUUGGUGUAGCCAUAGCUCCGUCUUGGUGGUGCUCGUCUCGCGGUCUUCUCUUGUGCUCAUGAAGUUUGGACUUGGCGUGAAGUAGGGCUUGUUGGGACUUGUAGGAAGGCGCUUGUGGAGCAUCAUCAUGAUGAUGGUGUCGUUGUCGUGCUUGAGCUCGUAGUAGAUGUCGUUCGUCGUCGUCGUGCACAUGUUGCUUGGAGGUGAAUUGCCCUUCAUGACGAGGUGGAUCACGAACGUGAUGGUGGUCGCCAUGGAGAUGUGGACGUGGACGUCUUGCGCUUGUGUCGCUUGGGCGCUCCGAAGAGGAUCGAUGUGCUUGCCGCUGCCUUGAAGAUGACGAAGGGGAAGUAGACUUGAUCAAGGCCCGAAUCUCCUCCAUCCUUGCAUCUUGCUCCUCCUUUUGUGCGGAAAGCUUGUUGUCGAUGUAGUCCCUUUUCCUCGCUUCGGAGUGACGAAUGUCGAUGGAGAGGUUCUCGAUGCGCUCUCGCAAUCUUGAUUGUGCGCCUUGCAUUUGUCGUUGUAGAUCGAAGAUUGACGCUUUGGUGAUGUAGUUGUUCACUCCGUCGUUGUUGUGGAAGACCAGAGAUGAAAUGCCUUGCCUAUCCAUCACAAGAUUCGAGCCAAUAUGAGUGGAGAAAGAGAAGAACGAAUACCCAAUGUACCUUCACCGAAGUUGAAAGUGGAUCAAUGAUCACUCCAAUGUGGAUAAGGAAAUAGCAGAAUUGGUACUAAUUCUUGUCGGUUUCUCACACCUACACAAGUAAGGCUUAUGGUGGAGCUCGGUGAGGAUAGUGGCACAAAAAUUUAAUGCAAAAUGUUAGCAAGAGUCAAUAAUGUUGAAAGAGAUUCACAAAUUCGCAAGUGUAACAAGUAGACCAAUAGCAAUAUGUGGCACACGGAAACACACAGACGGAUAGAUAAAUGGGGUCGUGCAACCAAGGAUGAGCACAAAAUGUGGAAUCCACGGAAAACGCUCGUGUUGCAUAACUCAAGAGAGACGCUAGCACGAUUGCUCUAUCGGCGGAUACGACACUUGUGCACAACCUAUGAUAUGCAAAAUGGAUAAACUUUCUAUCCCAAGUAUGCUAUGUAUGUAUGGUUCCCGGUGUUUGAUCCAAGAUGAUCGGAUAUGACAAUCUUAUGCAAUGUGGUGGAUGCUAUGGCUAUUGCUUACAAGCUUCUUUGCUCUUUCUCUAUUGCCACGAUACCGAGAUGAUACGGAGGUUACCUCCGUGGCGAUGAUGAGUGGCGGUGAUCUUGAUGGAGAUACCAAGAUGAUGGAGACUCGUCCCUAAGUAGCCGAAACACCUUAGGAAACGAAAAAAACCGUGAACUCAAAAAUCUCAAAUGUCAAAAUGGUGGUAGCGGGAUGCGGUGGUGGUUGCGGAAGAUCAACGGGAUUGCGGAAAGGCAAUGAUGAGUUAUGGAGUACGCAAUGCGGAUAUGGAGUGUAAGGUGGUGGACUAUACACGGUGUCGGAGUUGGAAGCACGGUCCCUAAGUAGCCGAAACACCUUAGGAGACACAACUCACAACACAAACAAAAUUGGGUUAAGUUAGGGUGGCAGAAGUGUAUAGUGGUCAAGCCUAUGCGGAAGUGGUGGCGGUGGUUGAUGAAGAAGCAACCGUCCCUAAGUAGCCUAGACACCUUAGGAGACUCGAAUCACUCCUCAAGCAACCACUAAUACGACGGGGAACAAAAUUGGUUAGGUUGCGGAAGUCGGUGGUGGUGUAUCGGAUGAUGUGGUGGAAGUCCUAGGCAAAGAUGUCAAAAUUGUCAAAAUUUGAUGUAGCCAAAAGAUGUUGGUGGUAUUUUUGUGAGAAGGAGGAUGUCAAGAGCUUUUUAACGAGCUAAAGAACGUCAAAAUCGGACUCCGGAUGAAUUAGUUAUGGCCGAAACAAAAUUUGAGCGACGUUGAUAUCUACAGGUAGCGGACGUCCGGAAAAAAAGGUCGUCCGGUCACCGGACGUCCGGUCGGGUCGGAAAUCCGCUGAUUCUGCUCGGGUUAGGGGGUUCCGGUCGUCCGGUAAGGUCGGACGUCCGGUGGUUCCUGCGGCUCCGGACGUUCGGUAAAGGGCCGGUCGUCCGGUGUAUCGGGGUUAACUCCAGAUCCGAGAUUCGGGACGUGAUUUUGGGCGGAAUUUGGGGAUUUGGGGGUCAAAAUUGAUGAGAUUUCAUGGAUGAAAGAUGGGGAAACUUGGGGAGAUGCUAGAUCCACUUGAAACCAAGCAAAUCCAUAGAUCAAAAUCAACAAAACAUCAUCAAACCAACAAAUCACAAAAAAAAUGGGACUAUUUUUGGUGGGGAUUUUUGAAUUUAGGAUGAAAUCAAGCAAAAGAUGGCUAGAAAACAGUGGGGGAGGCUCCAAAAUCGUGAUCAACCUUGCUCUAGAUACCAAGAUGAUGUAGGGUAGAACCCUAAUCGCCCGAUCUUUCACGAAAGGAGCGGAUCCCGCGAAGAACACGAGGAACACGAGGGGAAAACGAGGGAAACACAAGGAGAAAUACAAGAGGAUCACUCAACCAACAAGAACAAGUUACACAUGCGCUAGAUCCUCGAAUACAUAAAGUAAGAUACACGAUCCACAAUCAACUAAGGACGAUACAAAGGUAGUCGGUUCUUCUCCGUGAGGAGGUCUUGUAUCCACGAGGGGAUCUUCUCCGCGAGGAGGUCUUGAAUCCAAGUGGAUCUUCUCCGAAGAGGGGUCGCGGUCUCUCUCGUGGAGUAGAUCUGGAUGGAUGAGCGAAGCUCUAUCUCUAAGUAUGAGCUAAACCAACGCUAACCCUCAAAUGAUGGAGGUGGAGGAGUAUAUAUAGUCUAGGGCCACGAAGGGGUAAGUGAGAGCGAAGGGAUACAUGGGCUCGGCCCGAUACACUAUGCACAGACAGGCGUCGGACAUCCGACGGGUACCGGAAGUCCGGUGGCUCACGAGGGUCCGGUCGUCCGGUACUUGUCGGACGUCCGGCGUUUUGGCUCGAUUGACGUGGCGGCGGAUUUCCGGAGACGGUCGGACGUCCGGUCGUUGGAGUGUGUUAAACGUCCGGGACUUGUCGGACGUCCGCUCGUUUGGCUCGGAUGCGGGAUUGCCGGUCGUCCGGUGGGUCUUCAGGCGUCGGACGUCCGGUCUCGAUCGGUCGUCCGGUGGCUGGAGCUUCUUCCGUAGCUCUUCUUCUCGUUCCUCGCGCUUGGUGUCCUCGCCUUCUUGUCCAUGGUCUUCCUCUUGGUUCCUGGUCAUGCAUAACACACAUGUUUAGGUAGUAGCCAUGUCUCACGUAUGAAAAGUGAUGGUUCGAAGAGGAGCGAGUUCACCUUGUGUCCAAUGGUGUAUAGAUGAGGUCUCGUCUUAUGUUCUCUUAGGGCUUGGAGAGUAGUCGGAGUGUACAUGGGGAUGAACGUGGGAUGCUCCGCAUCAGAUCCCUUCAUGGCUUCAUUCGACCCCCCNNNNNNNNNNNNNNNNNNNNNNNNNNNNNNNNNNNNNNNNNNNNNNNNNNNNNNNNNNNNNNNNNNNNNNNNNNNNNNNNNNNNNNNNNNNNNNNNNNNNNNNNNNNNNNNNNNNNNNNNNNNNNNNNNNNNNNNNNNNNNNNNNNNNNNNNNNNNNNNNNNNNNNNNNNNNNNNNNNNNNNNNNNNNNNNNNNNNNNNNNNNNNNNNNNNNNNNNNNNNNNNNNNNNNNNNNNNNNNNNNNNNNNNNNNNNNNNNNNNNNNNNNNNNNNNNNNNNNNNNNNNNNNNNNNNNNNNNNNNNNNNNNNNNNNNNNNNNNNNNNNNNNNNNNNNNNNNNNNNNNNNACAAGACAUGAGAUGGACCAAAUAUAUCAGUAUAUUACAUCUAUCCAACCAAAAUGUACUUCCUUUGUUUCAAAUUAUGAGCUGUUCUAUUUUUUUUCUGAAUCAGAUCUAUAUAGACACGUCUUAGUGUGUUUGUUCACUCAUUUCCAUCCAUAUGUAGUCCAUAUUAAAAUAUCCAUAACGUCUUAUAAGUCGAAGGAACCGAGGUGAUACUAAUAAUUUAUUUAAUCUAAUUCGUCCCAGCCAAACAUAUGAGUAGAACCAAGGUCCCCAUGGUCCCCAUCUCCCCCAUUUGCCGGGCACACCUCUUAUUCCCGUCUCCAACUUGAGACAAACACCCACUUAUCAAACCCGGUGCCACGUCAUCGAUCCGGAAGCGGCGGGGUUGGGCGCGUCAGCCAUGGUUGAAGGGCGGGAGGAUUUUAGGGAGAAGUGGUGGGAAUGAAGAUGGUGUGCCAUAGUCUGACGAGCCUGGGGAGGACGUCGCGGGCGUCCGCUGCAUCUCCGCGAGGAACACAAACUCAACACAAUUUUGGGCCGAAAAUGAGUCAAAGUGAACGAGAAAGCAGGCAUUUGUCCGUUUUCGUCGGCGCGUUGGGCCAUGUUUUUUUGUGUGUGUGGACCCAAACAAAUCCGUGCGAACGAAAUGGGUCGGCGUGUUCAAGUUGACCGAAGUUUCUGGCUUGUCAAAGUUUCCUCCUUGUUUCUCCCUUUGUAAAUAAUGAAUGAUUUUUUCUCAUCUGAUAUCAUGGACUGCCUUUUUAUAGUUUCUUCUACCUGUUCUGUUAGAGAUAAUUUAGAGCAUUGAUGAAAAAGAAAAGGCGAACCGAUGGAGAUUAGGAAACGAUGUGAAUUAUUUGUAUGAUAUCAUAUUGUAUUUGUUAUACUCAUGAGCGCACUUAUAAUUUUUUGUUCCUGCAAAUACAAUUGACACGUCAUUUAGAAUUCUAAUAACAUACUAUGAAAACUAAAAAAAAUCACAAUUGUUCUUAUUGUUUAUGUGCAUAUGAGGUAAUCUCACCACUUCUACAUAAGACGAGAGAUGGAUCAAAUCCAUUCCAUUCUGUUUCUCCAGCUUGCAACCAGUGUAUUUUACCCAAUUUGCCUCAACCAAAGUAGGAGUACUAGUGAAACAGACUGUAAAAAUAAAAUAAAAAUCUGAGCGAAACAGAAGCAUGAAACAACCGCCCAAAUCCCACAAACGGCGCCACGUCAUCAAUCCCGGCCAGCACCCUCCCACCUCAUCCCACCCUUCUGAUCUCAAUCCAACGCCGCAUCUCCACCGUCUCGCGGAUCGACCAAGCAAAGCAUCUCCCUCCCGCCCCCAAAUCUCGCAGUUCCCUCCAAAAUCCUCCCCAUAUAAACCAACCCCCGCGCCCUCAAAUCCCCAAUCCCAUCGCAAGCAUCAGACUCCCUCCAAAGCAGCUCCUCUUCUUCCUCCCAAUCACACUCCCUCGGAGAGGAGCGGCCAUGUCCGGGCGCGGCAAGGGCGGCAAGGGGCUGGGAAAGGGCGGCACCAAGCGCCACCGGAAGGUCCUCCGCGACAACAUCCAGGGCAUCACCAAGCCGGCGAUCCGGAGGCUGGCCAGGAGGGGCGGCGUGAAGCGCAUCUCCGGCCUCAUCUACGAGGAGACCCGCGGCGUCCUCAAGAUCUUCCUCGAGAACGUCAUACGCGACGCCGUCACCUACACCGAGCACGCCCGCCGCAAGACCGUCACCGCCAUGGACGUCGUCUACGCGCUCAAGCGCCAGGGCCGCACCCUCUACGGCUUCGGAGGCUAGAUGCGUGGUGUGCUGUGCUGGUGGCGGCCGUGUUUCUCUGUGUGAUUGUGCCGUGGUGGAUGGGAUGUACUCCCUGUCGUGCGUUUGUGUUCAGUAGUCUGUAAUACCAUCAUGCGUUCAAUGAAACUGUUCUGAUCCUGAAUUCUGACCAAAUGCUUCAGUGACGAAAUCGUUUAUAUAAGACAUACUGAUUUGAUAUGUUCAUUUUCUUCUUCUUUAGAUUGUAUAGCUGUGCAGCUAGAAUUUCACACAGUUGCAAUCUGAUCAGUCUUUUGUCACGCAUUGCAAUCUGGACGAGUGCUUCCGCUCAGUUACCUACAGUACUACAGUUGCCACGUUUAAUUUGGGUUCAGUGGGAAUGAAUCCUGUUUCUUUUCUGCAGUAUUGUAAGGUAGUGCACAAGGAUCGGGGUUCAGGAUCUAAAGAUGCUGUAGUCCUGUAAAUAUUUCUGAAUCAAGCCAUGCGACACUUAUAAGUCUGUAGAAUGCAGAACAAAUAUCUGAUGCUCUGCAGUCUGCACUAAGCAUAGUUUUUCUUCCUAAUAAUCAUCUCAUUCCUCAGAGGAAUAUAUUGUAGAGAUUAUGUUCUUUUCCUAAUGACCUUGUGCCUGAUAAGGAUAAACAGGAUGAUUCUCUUUUCUCUUAUUGAGAAAUUGUAAGUCGCUGUCACUAAUUCUCUAGAGCAGGAAAUGCUUACCAGUGUAUGUUUUGCCAAAUUCCCAAUCAUCAGCCACAACAUUAAAAUUGGUCACUGAUCAUUCAUUCCUGCGGGGUCGCUUGAGGCCUGUUCAGCAACCGGCCCUCUGUGAUCUCAUUUGAUGUGCCAUAUCCAGCGCCACCACCAUUGCUGAUUAGAACCAUGAAGAAGCUCUUCCCAUACACUUGAGAUUGCGCACCGCCUUCAGGAAGGCACUUGACGCUGUUCAUAGGGAAACAUGACAAUUUCGGCCAACAAUCUUACAUCUGUUUACAUAUUCUUUCGACAGGCUAUUACAAAUCGAUUUAUUACCUGACCACGUGAAUUUUUGCUGCUCCGUGAAACAGUGGUUCAUUCUCUACAUCUAUUCUUUCUUUGGAAAUACAGCUAAUUGCUAAAGCUUUACAGUUGAUGAAGUUGAAGUCUAACAUAAUUUAGACCCAAAGCACAUCAGGGUGGAUAUUUCUGGCAUUUCCUUCCUGCCAAUUCCCCUCUAAAACAUAAAUCUCGAGGAUAGAAAGAGCACAACAACAAUACAUUUGUUAAACGAUUUAUUCAUGAAAGCAUCUACAAGAUACAUCUAUUUAAGUGUGCCAUGGCAGUACUUGCCAAUUUACUGAAUUUGAGUGGGAAGUAUUACAAAAUCCUAAUGUGUGCAUCUUGAAUACUAUCCUCUUUUCACCCUUUGUCAAAUUAUUUGUAGUUAUAGCUUUGCCUUAAGUCAAAUUUCUCAACAUUUGACCAAGUCUAUGGAACAGUUGUACUAGAACCAUGACAAUUAAUUUGGAUCAGAGGAAGUACUAAUAUCUACAACAUCAAAUAUACGUAGCACGCAAAUUUGAUAUAAGUUUUUAAUAAACUUGGUCAAAUUUGUCUUAGGACAGAGCUAGAACUUUAGAUAAUUUGGACACAUGGAGUAAUACUCAAUGGCCAAUGGUCAGCUAUUAAGUAAUUAAUAAAAUUCCCUUUUAACAGAAUUUUAGCAAUACAAAAUCACUAACAAAAUCACAAAGCACGCCAGCAAUCCCCACGCACUCCUAGGGGACGCCUUCUGGAAGGCCCAGGACACUCGGCCUAACAUGGCCAGGGUUUUCACUCGAGGAAUUGGGGAAGGAGAAGGGAUUUCGAAUGCCCCCUCAUAAGGGAGAACGGGGCAAGAACACCAUUGUCGAUGUUGACGUGAAAUCGACCAGGGGUUUCCCGUCUCUAGACUCCCAACACCACUGGAGGAAAUAUGCCCUAGAGGCAAUAAUAAAGUUAUUAUUUAUUUCCUUAUAUCAUGAUAAAUGUUUAUUAUUCAUGCUAGAAUUGUAUUAACCAGAAACAUAAUACAUGUGUGAAUACAUAGACAAACAUAGUGUCACUAGUAUGCCUCUACUUGACUAGCUCGUUGAUCGAAGAUGGUUAAGUUUCCUAGCCAUAGACAUGAGUUGUCAUUUGAUUAACGGGAUCACAUCAUUAGGAGAAUGAUGUGAUUGACUUGACCCAUUUCGUUAGCUUAGCACUUGAUUGUUUAGUUUGUUGCUAUUGCUUUCUUCAUGACUUAUACAUGUUCCUAUGACUAAGAUUAUGCAACUCCCGUUUACCGGAGGAACACUUUGUGUGCUACCAAACGUCAUAACGUAAUUGGGUGAUUAUAAAGGUGCUCUACAGGUGUCUCCGAAGGUACUUGUUGGGUUGGCGUAUUUUGAGAUUAGGAUUUGUCACUCCGAUUGUCGGAGAGGUAUCUCUGGGCCCUCUCGGUAAUGCACAUCACAUAAGCCUUGCAAGCAUUGCAACUAAUAAGUUAGCUGCGGGGUGAUGUAUUACGGAACGAGUAAAUAGACUUGCCGGUAACGAGAUUGAACUAGGUAUUAAGAUACCGACGAUCAAAUCUCGGGCAAGUAACAUACCGAUGACAAAGGAAACAACGUAUGUUGUUAUGCGGUCUGACCGAUAAAAGAUCUUCAUAGAAUAUGUAGGAGCCAAUAUGAGCAUCCAGGUUCCGCUAUUGGUUAUUGACCGGAGAAGUGUCUCGGUCAUGUCUACAUUGUUCUCGAACCUGUAGGGUUCGCAUGCUUAACGUUACGAUGACAGUUUCAUUAUGAGUUUAUAUAUUUUGAUGUACCGAAGGUUGUUCGGAGUCCUGAAUAUGAUCACGGACAUGACGAGGAGUCUCAAAAUGGUCGAGACAUAAAGAUCAAUAUAUUGGACGGCUAUAUUCGGACAUCAGAAGUGUUUCGGGUGAUUUCGGAGAAAACCGGAGUGCCGGAAGGGUUACCGGAACCCCCCGGGGAAGUAUUGGGCCUUAGUGGGCCUGAGGGGAGAGAGAGGGCAGCAUCCCUGGAGGUGGCGCCCCCCCUCCCAUAGGGAGUCCGAAUUGGACUAGGGGAGGGGGGCGCGGCCCCUCUUUCCCUCUUCCUCUCCCUCUCUUUCCUUCCCCCUUCUCUCUUCCUAGUUGGACUAGGAAAGGGGAGUCCUACUCCUACUAGGAGGAGGACUCCCCCCUCCUUGGCGCGCCCCAAGGGUCGGCCGACCUCUCCCCCUUGCUCCUUUAUAUACAGGGGCAGGGGGGCACCUCUAGACACACAAGUUGAUCUUCGUGAUCGUUCUCUUAGCCGUGUGCGGUGCCCUCCUCCACGAUAAUCCUUGAUAAUAUUGUAGCGGUGCUUAGGCGAAGCCCUGCAACGAUAGAACAUCAAGAUAGUCACCACGCCGUCGUGCUGACGGAACUCUUCCCCGACACUUUGCUGGAUCGGAGUCCGGGGAUCGUCAUCGAGCUGAACGUGUGCUAGAACUCGGAGGUGCCGUAGUUUCGGUGCUUGAUCGGUCGGGCCGUGAAGACGUACGACUACAUCAACCGCGUUGUGCUAACGCUUCCGCUUCCGGUCUACGAGGGUACGUAGACAACACUCUCCCCUCUCGUUGCUAUGCAUCACCAUGAUCUUGCGUGUGCGUAGGAUUUUUUUUGAAAUUACUACGUUACCCAAUAGUGGCAUCCGAGCCUAGGUUUUAUGCGUUGAUGUUGUGCACGAGUAGAACACAAGUGAGUUGUGGGCGAUAUAAGUCAUAAUGCUUACCAGCAUGUCAUACUUUGGUUCAGUGGUAUUAUUGGAUGAAGCGGCCUGGACCGACAUUACGCGUACGCUUACGCGAGACUGGUUCUAUCGACGUGCUUUGCACAUAGGUGGCUAGCGGGUGUCAGUUUCUCCAACUUUAGUUGAACCAAGUGUGGCUACGCCCGGUCCCUUCGAAGGUUAAAACAGCACCAACUUGACAAACUAUCGUUGUGGUUUUGAUGCGUAGGUAAGAACGGUUCUUGCUAAGCCUGUAGCAGCCACGUAAAACUUGCAACAACAAAGUAGAGGACGUCUAACUUGUUUUUGCAGGGCAUGUUGUGAUGUGAUAUGGUCAAGACAUGAUGCUAAAUUUUAUUGUAUGAGAUGAUCAUGUUUUGUAACCGAGUUAUCGGCAACUGGCAGGAGCCAUAUGGUUGGCGCUUUAUUGUAUGCAAUGCAAUCGCGCUGUAAUGCUUUACUUUAUCACUAAGCGGUAGCGAUAGUCGUGGAAGCAUAAGAUUGGCGAGACGACAACGAUGCUACGAUGGUGAUCAAGGUGUUGCGCCGGUGACGAUGGUGAUCAUGACGGUGCUUCGAAGAUGGAGAUCACAAGCACAAGAUGAUGAUGGCCAUAUCAUAUCACUUAUAUUGAUUGCAUGUGAUGUUUAUCUUUUAUGCAUCUUAUCUUACUUUGAUUGACGGUAGCAUUAUAAGAUGAUCCUUCACUAAAUUAUCAAAGUAUAAGUGUUCUCCCUAAGUAUGCACUGUUGCGAAAGUUCUUCGUGCUGAGACACCACGUGAUGAUCGGGUGUGAUAGGCUCUACGUUCAAAUACAACGGGUGCAAAACAGUUGCACACGCGGAAUACUCAAGUUUAACUUGACAAGCCUAGCAUAUAACAGAUAUGGCCUCGGAACACGGAGACCUAAAGGUCGAGCGUGAAUCAUAUAGUAGAUAUGAUCAACAUAUUGAUGUUCACCAUUGAUACUACUCCAUCUCACGUGAUGAUCAGACAUGGUUUAGUUGAUUUAGAUCACAUGAUCACUUAGAGGAUUAGAGGGAUAUCUUUCUAAGUGGGAGUUCUUAAGUAAUAUGAUUAAUUGAACUUAAAUUUAUCAUGAACUUAGUACCUGAUAGUAUCUUGCUUGUCUAUGUUUGAUUGUAGAUAGAUGGCUCGUGCUGUUGUUCCGUUGAAUUUUAAUGCGUUCCUUGAGAAAGCAAAGUUGAAAGAUGAUGGUAGCAAUUACACGGACUGGGUCCAUAACUUGAGGAUUAUCCUCAUUGCUGCAUAGAAGAAUUACGUCCUGGAAGCACCGCCAAGUGCCAAGCCUGCUGCAGGAGCAACACCAGAUGUUAUGAACGUCUGGCAGAGCAAAUCUGAUGACUACUCGAUAGUUCAGUGUGCCAUGCUUUACGGCUUAGAACCGGGUCUUCAACGACGUUUUGAACGUCAUGGAGCAUAUGAGAUGUUCCAGGAGUUGAAGUUAAUAUUUCAAGCAAAUGCCCGGAUUGAGAGAUAUGAAGUCUCCAAUAAGUUCUAUAGCUGCAAGAUGGAGGAGAAUAGUUCUGUCAGUGAACAUAUACUCAAAAUGUCUGGGUAUCAUAAUCACUUGACUCAACUGGGGGUUAAUCUUCCUGUUGAUAGUGUCAUUGACAGAGUUCUUCAAUCACUGCCACCAAGCUAUAAAAGCUUCAUGAUGAACUAUAAUAUGCAAGGGAUGAAUAAGACUAUUCCUGAGCUCUUCACAAUGCUAAAAGCCGCGGAGGUAGAAAUCAAGAAGGAGCAUCAAGUGUUGAUGGUCAAUAAGUCCAUCAGUUUCAAGAAAAAGGGCAAAGGGAAGAAGAAAGGGAACUUCAAGAAGAACAGCAAACAAGUUGCUGCUCAGGAGAAGAAACCCAAGUCUGGACCUAAGCCUGAGACUGAGUGCUUCUACUGCAAGCAGACUGGUCACUGGAAGCGGAACUGCCCCAAGUAUUUGAUGGAUAAGAAGGAUGGCAAAGUAAACAAAGGUAUAUGUGAUAUACAUGUUAUUGAUGUGUACCUUACUAAUGCUCGCAGUAGCACCUGGGUAUUUGAUACUGGUUCUGUUACUAACAUUUGCAACACGAAACAGGGGCUACGGAUCAAGCGAAGAUUGGCUAAGGACGAGGUGACGAUGCGUGUGGGAAAUGGUUCCAAAGUCAAUGUGAUCGCGGUCGACACGCUACCUCUACAUCUACCUUCGGGAUUAGAAUUAGACCUAAAUAAUUGUUAUUUGGUGCCAGCGUUGAGCAUGAACAUUAUAUCUGGAUCUUGUUUGAUGCGAGACAGUUAUUCAUUUAAAUCAGAGAAUAAUGGUUGUUCUAUUUAUAUGAGUAAUAUCUUUUAUGGUCAUGCACCGUUGAAGAGUGGUCUAUUUUUAAUGAAUCUCGAUAGUAGUGAUACACAUAUUCAUAAUGUUGAAAUCAAAAGAUGCAGAGUUGAUAAUGAUAGUGCAACUUAUUUGUGGCACUGCCGUUUAGGUCAUAUCGGUGUAAAACGCAUGAAGAAACUCCAUACUGAUGGACUUUUGGAACCACUUGAUUAUGAAUCACUUGGUACUUGCAAACCGUGCCUCAUGGGUAAUAUGACUAAAACACCAUUCUCCGGUACUAUGGAGAGAGCAACGGAUUUGUUGGAAAUCAUACAUACAGAUGUAUGUGGUCCAAUGAAUGUUGAGGCUCGUGGCGGAUAUCGUUAUUUUCUCACCUUCACAGAUGAUUUAAGCAGAUAUGGGUAUAUCUACUUAAUGAAACAUAAGUCUGAAACAUUUGAAAAGUUUAAAGAAUUUCAGAGUGAAGUUGAAAAUCAUCAUAACAAGAAAAUAAAGUUUCUACGAUCUAAUCGUGGAGGAGAAUAUUUGAGUUACAAGUUUGGUCUACAUUUAAAACAAUGCGAAAUACUUUCGCAACUCACGCCACCCGGAACACCACAGCGUAAUGGUGUGUCCGAACGUCGUAAUCGUACUUUAUUAGAUAUGGUGCAAUCUAUGAUGUCUCUUACUGAUUUACCUUUAUCAUUUUGGGGUUAUGCUUUAGAGACGGCUGCAUUCACGUUAAAUAGGACACCAUCGAAAUCCGUUGAGACGACGCCUUAUGAACUGUGGUUUGGCAAGAAACCAAAGUUGUCGUUUCUAAAAGUUUGGGGCUGCGAUGCUUAUGUGAAAAAGCUUCAAUCUGAUAAGCUCGAACCCAAAUUGGAGAAAUGUGUCUUCAUAGGAUACCCAAAGGAGACUGUUGGGUACACCUUCUAUCACAAAUCCGAAGGCAAGACUUUUGUUGCUAAAUUCGGAGUUUUUCUAGAGAAGGAGUUUCUCUCGAAAGAAGUGAGUGGGAGAAAAGUAGAACUUGAUGAGGUAACUGUACUUGCUCCCUUAUUGGAAAGUAGUACAUCACAAAAACCGGUUUCUGUGACACCUACACCAAUUAGUGAGGAAGAUAAUGAUAAUGAUCAUGAAACUUCAGAUCAAGUUACUACCGAACCUCGUAGAUCAACCAGUGUAAGAUCCGCACGAGAGUGGUACGGUAGUCUUGUUCUGGAAGUCAUGCUACUAGAUCAUGAUGAACCUACGAACUAUGAAGAAGCGAUCGUGAGCCCAGAUUCCGCAAAAUGGCUAGAAGCCAUGAAAUCUGAGAUGGGAUCCAUGUAUGAGAACAAAGUGUAGACUUUGGUUGACUUGCCCAUUGAUCGGCAAGCAAUUGAGAAUAAAUGGAUCUUCAAGAAGAAUACUAACGCUGACGGUAAUCUUACUGUCUAUAAAGCUCGACUUGUUGCAAAAGGUUUUCGACAAGUUCAAGGGAUUGACUACGAUGAGACCUUCUCACCCGUAGCGAUGCUUAAGUCUAUCUGAAUCAUGUUAGCAAUUGCCACAUUUUAUGAUUAUGAAAUUUGGCAAAUGGAUGUCAAAACUGCAUUCCUGAAUGGAUUUCUGGAAGAAGAGUUGUAUAUGAUGCAACCAGAAGGUUUUGUCGAUCCAAAGGGAGCUAACAAAGUGUGCAAGCUCCAGCGAUCCAUUUAUGGACUGGUGCAAGCCUCUUGGAGUUGGAAUAAACACUUUGAUAGUGUGAUCAAAGCAUUUGGUUUUGUACAGACUUUUGGAGAAGCCUGUAGUUAUAAGAAAGUGAGUGGGAGCUGAGUAGCAUUUCUAAUAUUAUAUGUGGAUGGCAUAUUAUUGAUUGGAAAUAAUAUAGAAUUUCUGGAUAGCAUAAAGGGAUACUUGAAUAAGAGUUUUUCAAUGAAAGACCUCGGUGAAGCUGCUCACAUAUUGGGCAUUAAGAUUGUCAGAUUCACGGGUUCCGGCAGACCCUUAAGGUUCGAACACUGGGGUGCGCGCGGAGAUCACGCCUUCUACCUCCCCGUCUCGUAAGGAUCUAAACUACUAAAAGAACUGCACAAGGAACACAAGAUUUAUACUGGUUCGGGCCACCAUUGUGGUGUAAUACCCUACUCCAGUGUGUGGUUGGUGGAUUGCCUCCUGGGGCUGGUGAUGAUGAACAAUACAAGGGAGAACAGCCUCGCGAGGGUCUGUUCUUGGCUGGGGUGAUGAACUGCUAGGAGGAGUUUAGUCACCUUUCUCUCUCUCUCUCACUCACUCUCUCUGCUUUUCUCUCACUUGUCGACCGUCUGGAACCCCGGACGAACCAACCCCCUUGCCAUGUGGGUGGCUGGUCCUAUUUAUAGAGGGCCUGGUCCUCUUCCCAAAUAUUGAGCGGAAAGGGAGCCAAUAAUGGCGGGCUAAUUUGAAGGGGGACAGCGAGUACACUUAUCCUGACUAAAGUUGGUCUCCGCCUGCCAAAGGCUCUGGUGAUGACACCGUGCUGGGCUCCAUGGUGACCUCCAUCUCGUAGUCCUCCUGGUCUUGGUCUCGUUGCACCGAAAUGGCAACCUUUGCCUGAUGCCUCGGUACUCCGUGGCUGCGCUUGCCCCCUUUGCACCAAAGAGGAAAGAAGGACGCUGCGCGCGCUGGCGCCCGCCUGGCACCCUGAGUCGUCAUGGCUUACGUCAUGGGCACCUCGCGAGGUACCCUGCCUUGAUAUCUCCACCUUCUCGCGAGCCAGCCUGAUGAGGCUGCGCCUGAGGAAACGCCGUGUCGUCCACCCCGCGAGGCUUGGCCCCUCGCGAGGGUCUUGAGCCUUGUGUUGAUGAAGAUGGGCCAUGCUGGGCCCCCAUUUGAGCCACGCCGCAGGCCGCAGGCAGGCAAGUCUGGGGACCCCCGUUCCCAGAACGCCGACAGUAGCCCCUGGGCCCAAGGCGCGCAUGGACUUGGCCGUGCCGAGAGGCGGAAGGGCAAGGGUGAAGCGCCGCGGGCCCUAACAGCCUGCGGCCUUGGGCGCCGCAUGGCGGUUGAUUGGACGCAAGUGCUUCAGCAACCGCGCAGGUUGAUAAAGGAGCGGCAUCUGCCCAGACUUUGCCUUUUGCUGCUCAGAUCCCCUUUCUUGCGCCUUCCCCUUUCUUCCUCCAAAUUUCCAGGUCCACAGCCUGCUGCGCGACCUAGGAAGCCAUGGCGCCUCGUCAGCCUCCGGCCGAAGCUUGGUGUUCUCCUGCCCUGGACUUGCCGAAUGUGUCCAAGGCUGGCCUUGCCCGGCUGCGCCGGAUGGCGGCGGCGCAGGGCAUCAACGGGACGAAGGUGUUCAAGGCCGGCACCGCCACCCCUGAGGGCCGAGGGAGCACCUUUUAUCCUCUCUUUGCGAGCUCCAUUGCUGCGGGCCUGGUGCCUCCCUUCUCCGAGUUCUUCUUCUCUGUCCUCCGCCAUUACAACUUGCAGGCUCUGCAUAUCCACCCCAACUCCGUUCUUCUUCUGGCGAUCUUUGCUUACUACUGCGAGGCCCACAUAGGGGUGCAGCCCUCAGUGGCCUUGCUGCGCCAUUACUUCUUCCUCCGGAUCUCUGGCAGUUCUCCUUCCGCGUGCGCGGGCUUCGUCGCGUAUGGCGGCACCAUUACCAUCUCGAAUCCCGGGAAGAGGGUUGAGGGCUUCAGGAGCAAGUGGGUCUUGGUAGAUGCCGGGUGCAUCCACCCUCGGCUGAUCUUGCCUGCGGAGCAGCCCGCGAGCUCCAGCGACUGGUGCCGAGCGGAGCUCACAGACCCCCGCGCGAAACUGGUGCUGGUGAAGAUGGACGCGGACCUGAGGCCGGUUAGUACGGCGGCGGCGAAGUUGACCGGUGCGUCGCUGCUGAAGGAGUUCCUGGAGUACCAGCUGGCUCCGCUCCGGCGGUACUCUCCUCCAAUGUGGAGGCCUCAUCCGAGCCCCGAGGCUGUGGACGAAGAGGAUGUGACCGCGGUUCUUCAAUCUCUGGUCGGGGGCGAGGUGGCAAGGUUGAAGGGUGCUCCCAAGCCCUUGUUCCUUCGCGACGACUGGGAGCAGGUGGUGAAGUCCAUGCCUGUUUUUAACGGGGACGGGCUCAUGCCCGUGGCAGCCUCCGAAGGACCGGUGGACGUGCCCUCCGGCGACUCCAGCGAGGAGGAGGACGAAGAGGAGCGGGGAGAGGGGCCCGACUCUGGGGCGACCGAUGGAGAGUCGAGGGCUCCCCUCCCUCGGCGCUUGUCCCGUACUCUCCGCCUUUCGCCGAGUGAUGAUGAUGAUGAUGAUGACGAUGACGCGCUGGGUAGCGGGAGCUCGCCCUCGAUCCCGAAGAAGGACAACACCGGGCUGGUCUCCCGCGGGUCUGCCCCUGCCCCGAGGCAGUCCGCAGACGCGCCUUCUGCUUCCAAGGUCGACCCUUCCAGCUGGCUGUCAGGCUUCAAGUUGGGCCGGAGGCUGCCCGAGCUCACCGGCGAUGACCCGUAAGCGCUUGAUCCUUGAUCUUUUGUUUCUCGUUCCGCCGACGAGGCUUGAUGAUUGCUUCUCUUGAAUAGGCUGGCGCCCAUGGCGAAGAAGCCGAAGGGGGCUCCUGAGGCUCCAUCCGCGGCAGCGCGUCCGCCCGUGGAGGGGGGUGACCGCGGCGCGCGGGCUUCGCCUGCCCGGUCACCCUUGGGAGGCCUGGCCAUGCUGGCGGGGCCGAGCUCAGCCCCCAUGGCCCAAGUGACUCCUGGGGUGCCCUCGUUUGGCGCCGCUGCUACGGCUGUGGAGGCGCAGCGUACUCCGCCUCGGGACACGGCGGCCUCGUCGCCGCUACCUUCUCCUCCCGUUCCACCGACCGUUGCUUCCCCAACUCCUCCUGUUGUCUUGGAGCACAAUGAUGUUUCUCCGCCUUCUUCUUCCAUCCUGGAGUGUGCCGCUGCUGAACUGGACCGGCUGCGGCAGGAUCUUCUCAGCGCCGACCCUCGCCUGGUGGCCGGGCGCCUGGAACUGGCUUCGGGGUGGAUUCGCUCUGAUGCUUCGAUCCGGGCGGUGUUGGUUCAGGCCUCGACGGCCUAUGACAAGGAGAGGCGGGCCGUCCUCGAGGCGAAGGCUGCCCGAGACGCGGCCCUGGGAGAGGUGGUUGAAGCCCGUGGUCAUUGCAAGGCGCUGGAGGAUGAGCUGCAAGGCCUGCGGGGCCAGCUCGUGGAGGAGGUACGUCUUCGCCAGGAACAGGAGAAGGGGGCGAAGGCGCGCGAGGCGGCGCUCGAGGACCGGGAGGCCAAGCUCAAGAAGCGCCGCGACCGCUUAGGCGCGUUAAAGAAGGAGCUGGAGGUGACGAAGGCCGAGCUGGACGCCAAGGCUCGGGUCCUCGCCGAGGAUCGCGUGGCCUUCGCGGACAUGGAGAAAGAUGCCCGUGCUUCGCUGAAGACGCUUUACGAGAACGGCCUGGACAGCCCGCUAGCCGGUGAUGGGGACGGCCCCGCCAAGCUGCUUCCUUUCCUGGUUAAGGCCCUUGGGGAUGUCGCCCUUGGCAUCGGCCCUACGGCCGAGGCCGAGGCGCGCGUCCUGUCUUCUGUUGCGCUGACGCGGGUCUUCGCCCACAUCUACCUUUGCGAUCCCAACGCCGACCUCGACAGCGUGCUGGAACCGGUGAGCGGCGGAGGUGCUGCUGCCGCUGUCGAAGCCGUGAAGGGGCGCGCGGAGGCGCUGCUGGGGAAGUUCCGGGCCUUCAGCACCAGGCCAAAGCAAGGCGCUGCCGGCCCUGCUGCUCCAUGAGGCGAAGCCACUCCACACAGCUUCACCGCCGACGAGUGACUCCGUUCCAUCCCUGUUCUUCUUUCAAUUCCUGCACAUGCAUCACGCCUCGGGGAGGCAUUUAAACUCGCGUUUGGUACCUAGACGGCAGUAUGGGUUGUAAUAUUUGCUUUUAAAUUCCUUGAAUUUUAUGCUUUUCUUCCCUACUUGCUUGUGUUCUACGUUGGCAGAGCCCGGCCCCGCGCGUGCCUCACCCAGCAUUAGCCCCGACCGGAAACCAGGACGGAACCAAAGGAAUGAGGGGCUACGUGACAAGUUAGGCUCCUGAGUCGCGAUGCUCAGGAGUCCCCCUUGGCGCGCGAACAACAAGUAGGGAGGCGUGAUGUAGGUGUAUCUUCCGUUCCACGUCUGCAGAGCCCGACUCCGCGCGUACCUCACCCAGCAUAGCCUUUCGGAACUAAGGAGUGAGGGGCUACGGGGCCAGUUAGGCUCCUGAGUCGCGAUGCUCAGGAGUCCCCCUUGACGCGCAAACAGCGGGUGAUGAGGUGAACUACAAGCGGGGCUACCGUUCUACGUCUGUAGAGCCCGGCCCCGCACGUACCUCACCCAGCAUAGCCUUUCGGAACUAAGGAGUGAGGGGCUACGGGACUAGUUAGGCCCCUGAGUCGCGAUGCUCAGGGGUCCCCCUUGACGCGCAAACGGCCUUCAUACCUUGGCUCCGCUCGGGGAGAGACGCGCGAUGAACCAGGCCCGAGGGCCCUGGCUGGGCGGCGUACGUCUGGGCGUGACCCAGCCGUAGCCGCCGUGCCUAGCCCCCUCACGCGGCACUCCCGAGGGGAGGCGUUGCGAUGAGGCCAGCCACUGAGCUCUAGGCUCCCUGAGGUUAAUGCGGCCCGGAGGCCACCCUCAGUUGUUUAUCACCAGCGCAGAGCAUAGCGCUUCCGUAUGUGUACGGGCAUAGCCGCUCCUCGGCAGUGUCAUCAGCCAGCACGGAGCAUGGUGCUUCCACUGGUACGUGGGUGGGGUCUCCCCUCCGGGAGGAGCCCCCGGGGCGUGUACAGCCCGGCCCUGACACGUGGCCGGCACGGUAGGGCUAGGUGAGGUGUAUCUGGGCACCCGUGAGCCAGCGCGGGACUCACGAGGCCCUACCUCUAGGCGGGUUGCGCCUGGCACUGGGCCGUAUCUUGAGAUAUGUCCCUGCAAAAUUUGGUUAGAUGCCGAUACUCUACGUCCUCGGGUCCUGGCCCUCGAGCUUGUCUCAGCCGUCGCUGGUAUGCCAAGUCGCGAUGCCGUGGACAAGGCCAGAGGGUGAGGGCUGGAGAGCCAGUAAGAGCCCUGAGUCGCGAUGCUCAGGCACCCCCCCUUUAAUGUGCAAGUAGUCGACAUGGAGAAGAAGGGAUGCCGCGGACGGGCAUCAAGUCAUCGAGCGCGAUAGGCGAAUGCAUAGCUGGAAAUAAACGCAAGGGAGAUACACGCCGCUGGGCCUAGCCCCAGCGGCUUGGGGAUGAUGCAGCCCGAGGGGCGCCCCCAAUAAGGCAAACUAAACGACCGAAAGAUAAAAGGGGAUACAUGUCGCAGGGACGGACCCACGCGGCCUGGGAGUGAUGCAACCCUGGGAGGGUGCUCCCAGCGGGGAAUGAGGCUUGAAACAUGUCACCUGAGGAUGUCGUUGGCGAAGUGACAUUGGUGCAGCAGACUCGGUGGGUUGCGGAAGCCGAUCCUCAUGAGCCCCCAGGCCCCGGGGCCUCGGGAGGCUCCGGAGGCACUGGUGACUCCUCACGAGCUGUCUUCAUCUCCACCAGCGCCGCGGAACGCCUGUCUUCCUGAGCCUCCAUGAUGUCCCUCAUGAGGCGCUGGUACGCCGCAGCCAUGCUCGGCAGGCCGUAAGGCAUGCGAACAUAGCUGUGGGGUGGACCCCCGCAGCGCCCCACUUGCGAGGGCCAGAGGCGCUCCGUUGUGGCGAUCUGAUUGAGCCCUGGUACGUUGAUGCAAACGCACAGCCCACCAUCCUUGCCAGGAUGUGGGGCCACAACUGGCGGACGACGGCAACCUCUCUUGAUCCUUGACUCCUGUAGUUCUUGAAUGGCCUUGUUAAUGAACUCCUGCUAGUCUGACCUUCCUUGCUUGGCUCCUUCUCGAGGGAAACGUGCUUCGAAGCACGCCUCCACAUGGUGCCCAAGCGCCUCCCUCGUGACCCUGGCUAGGUCGGUGGCCCUCCAGGUGAGAGCCCCCGAGCCCUGCCUGAGGAGGGUGCUGGGCGCGCUUUCCUAUGCGAUGGAAGGAGGGUCCUCCCGGUCGGACACGGGCCUUGAAGGGCCUGCCUCCUGAGGGGCUGAGCCUGACGACGUCUUCUUCUUCUUGGGGGUGGUUUCAGGAAGCCUCCUGCUUCCGCGAUCUGGGUAUUCUAGCGACGCGGCCUGAAAGGCUCGCUCCAGGGAACACACUGCAUCCUUCUCUUCACAGGGCACCAUGAUGACGCCGCCACUUCCUGGCAUCUUGAGGACGUUGUAGCCGUGGUGAGUCACGGCCAUGAACUUGGCCAGCGCUGGGUACCCGAGGAUGGCGUUGUACGGCAGGCGGAUGUGGGCGACGUUGAAGUCGAUGAGCUCGGUGCGGUAGUUGCUGCGGGCCCCGAAGGUGACAGGGAGGCGGACCUGCCCGAUCGGGACUGUGGAACCGUCGGUGACUCCGGAGAAAGGCUUGGUUGGCUGAAGCUGGUCAUAGGGCACUUGGAGGUUGUUGAAUGUUUCCACGGACAGGACGUUGAGCCCCGCCCCUCUGUCGAUGAGGGUCUUGGUGACCAACACGUUGCUGAUGACUGGGGAGCAAAGCAUUGGGAGGACUCCGGCCGUG